rnacentral:lncRNA from 1 species
AAAAAGAAACUGAUCAAUCUUCCACCUCUCAUCAGGUGCGUGCGCGGCUUGUCUAGAAUAAGCAGUCAUAUCUUCGAACUUCUCAGCAUACGCAGCUACUGACAUAGUACCCUGUCUAAGCUGCUGAAACUCAAACUCUUUAUGUGUCCUCAAAGAACUCGGAAAAUACUUAUGCAGGAAAAUAGUCUUAAAAUGCUCCAAAUCCCUAGGUAUUCCUUGAUUGGUCAUAAGAGUCGAAGCAUUCUCCCACCAUCUCACAGCUGGACCCUUCAUCAUGUGAGAAGCAAACACAACCUUAUUCUCUUCACUACAAUGCACUAUAUGAAAAAUCCUUUCCAUGUUGGUUAUCCACUCCUGAGCUUUCACAUGAUUCAACCCACCAUGGAAUUCGGGAGGAUUCAUGUGGAAGAAAUCUCGGAAACUACCACCUGCGACUUCUUGUGGAACCCCCUGAGGAUGAAAACCACCAUUCCACUGUUGCAUCAUCUGUUGCAUGAAUUGAUUCUGUUGUUGUUGUUGUUGCAUCUGUUGCAUAAAUUGAGGCCAUUGAAAACCUUCACUACCACUUGGCGGUUCAAAGUCUGAAUUAUGGGUUCUGGGUCUACCACGACCUCUGCGUCUAUCAGCCAUGAUCCUGAAUGUCAUACAAAUAGGAUUAAGUUGAUCAGGCUCAAUACUAUGAAUAUAACACCAAGGACAAUCAUGACAACCCACAUAUGAGGUAGAAAGAAAUAUUUAUAAUAUUUCAUGGAUAGGUCGAGGAUAUGACCUGCUCUGAUACCAACUGCAACACCCAUAUAUAAUAUAUGUCUAGAAUAAAUAUUAUACGUAGUGUAAAACUGGUACUAAAAUACAUAAGCGCUUAGCAGCACAGUGUACAUAUACAAAUACAUGCCCAAAAUAAGUAUAACAUGGCACAAGAUGUACACAAAAGUGCCAAAUAUAAAACUACUGAUCUAGAUCAUUAGACAAUGAUCCCAAAAAUAUCUACACAACGGAAAGAAAAGCCAUCAGUCAUCAGGUAAGCAAGACAUCACUCUAUCUUGCCCUUACCCUUCUCCUGCUCAGAACCACCUAAAAAAUAAUCAACAACAUGGGGUGAGAUGAUAAUCUCAGUGGGUUCCCUAUCUUAGUCCACUCGGCUCUCAAGGGUUUUCUAAUCAAUAUUCAACUCAUAUCCAACUCAAGUCAACAAGGGAACGAAGACUUGAGCAAGGGGGAAACUAACUCGCAAUGUAUGGCAACAUGCACCUGAUUUCUCAUAAAUCAACCACGAUCAUUAUUGAGAUCAUGAAACAUCAAUUCCCGAACAGACUUAUGUCUAAGCCAGGCCCGGUUUAUGCAUGCUCCUAUGAUUCGACUUUCGUGGUAGAUAUCGGGUCCUCUAUGAGGCUUAAUCCUAAAUUCAAGCGACCGUCACCCAUAUGGGAAUCUAACCCACUUAGGGUCUCUUUCACCGUAUGGGAAUCCAACCCAUUUAGGUGUCCACCUUUCCCCCACGUCCGCCGUUGUUGGGGCUCAAACCCAAUUGAGGCUCGAAUCAUCGGUCUCACAUCCCAAUGCUUACUUUUCAAAGCAUACCAAAUAUAGAUGUACACCAUCAUAGAAAAUACACAUUUUAAAUACAUAAUCGGUUCAUAAAACAUUGGUUCCACAAACCAUAACAAAAUUAGUCAAUCACAGGUGACUUCAUUCACCAAAAUACAUAAAUAUUAACAUGGCAUGUUCCAUACAAUGCGUCUCAUUCUCAAUCAUGGCAAUGAUUCGUCCACGACCUCCACAUAAGCGUCGUACGAAUGAAUACCGUAUUCUCAUAUUACCUAGGUUGUAAACCUAACUCAUGACCUAAUUUCAAUCCUAAGUUAACUCACUAGAUUCAUCAUGUAAUUUUCACCAUUAACGUGUAUUCAACAUAAGCAUAGCAUCACAAUUUAUUAAUGGUUGGAAGAAUGCAUUUAGAAACACUUAAGAAAUGGAUUUUGAAGUUUUUAACUUAAGUCAAUCGAUUGGUUGGGGAAGCCUAAUCGAUUGGUUCCUCUCACAUUUUUAUUUUUCAAAAUUUGCUGAGGAUCAAUCGAUUGAUCCUGAGUGUCAAUCGGUUGGCUCACUGAAUUUUUUUCACUGUUCAUAUACAACAAGUUUGUGCAAUCAAUUGUAAUGCAGUGUCAAUUGAUUGGUCAUGCUAAAAUUACAUUUUUUUCUGCAAAACAAGGGGCUGUCAAUCGAUUGAUGACAGAGACCAAUCAAUUGGUCCACUCACAUUUUCACAUUUUCCACUUCACAGACACCCUUCCUCUGUUAUUUCAUUUCUAACACACCAUCCACUUCUUCUUCCAACAAAACUCAUCAUAUUACAUGCUCAUAUACACAUGUAUAACAAGGAUUCCAAGUUCAUAACCACAAGGAUUUCAACAUCAUAAACACAACCAAUCAUUUAACCACAACCACAACAAACACAUGUAUAACAAGGAUUCCAAGUUCAUAACCACAAGGAUUUCAACAUCAUAAACACAACCAAUCAUUUAACCACAACCACAACAAAUCAUGUUAUCACAACAAUCAUAAAGAACCUAUCAAGCAUAUGUUCAUAAAAACAACAACAUCAAGAGAAAUAUUCAUCAUAUAUCAUGGAUUGUUCAUGAUUUAUCUAUGAUUCCAAAAUCCUAAUCUUCUCGAUACCUAGAGUUUCUAACUAGAACCCACAUUAAGAAAUUGAAGAGGAGAAGUUGUUGAAAAUGAGAUGAGGAUGAGGGUGAUGGUGUUGGUUCCAAGCUUUCCUUCUUCUUCUUCUUCUUCUCCACUAGCCUUGCUUUCUCUUCUUCUACCUUUCCCUUGAGCUCCUUCUUUCUUUCUAUGCUUUCUGAUACAUAGAAAACCAAAUGGCUUAUGGUAGAUAAUAUAAGGUAGUAACAUGUGGACCACAAGCCUUAUAGCAUAUGUGUGGUUAGAAAGUGGUGGAAACAAAUAUCUUAAGUGGCACCAACCAUAAUAUUUGUUCUACCAGAGCUAUUGACCCAUUAUUAGUGUUAUCAAAAUGUCCCAAUUAAUAAAAGGUCAGACUCAAUUAAUAUUAAUUAAGUCAACCUGAACUCACUAUUUACUCUAUUUAUCCCAAUCGGCAACUUUUAGAGCACAGAGGAACUCAAUUGACCUCAAUUAAUAGAAAUUUAGGCAUUUAAAGAAAUACGGGGUAUUACAGUAAAUACUAUUAUUAAAGUUUGGAAAAACCUUGCAAUUCUUUGACGAAAGGAUUGACAAAGAUAUGAUGUCUUUGGAUAUAAUUGAAUGCAAUGAAGAUAUCAUUAGGGAUAUGGAAGAAGCACAUAUCUAAUUAAUCUUUGAUAGUGGAAACUCGACUCACGCUUGAUUAAUAUUAAGUCUUGAGUUAAAUGAUGAAAGUACACUAUUAGAGUGAUUCAAAUACUUGACAAUAGAUACAUCUCAAGAGGUAAAAGUACUUGGACCAUAAGAAUAAAUGUGAUAGGAUGAGGUUUUUCUCUUAAUAGAAAUAUCAUAUAUGUUGCUUGAAUGCAUAAUUAUGGGUGCAUUUUUUAUAUAAUCUACCUAUAUGAGAAUGAAGUGAUGCCGCUUCAUAGAGUUCAAGGACCUGACUCUUAAAUUCUUAUGAAAAGAAUAUGAGACGCAAGGUCUUAUUUAAUGUGUCAUAUUAAUAAUUUGAUCAAUGAUACCGAGAUUUUAUGUGUGAGUUAUGCAUGCUUGUUCUAAUGAAUAAUUGAUUCAAAAUUUGUCUACCAAUCUAUUCGGGGAUGAGUGAAAACUUAAUUUACUAAGUAUUGAUUCAAACCGUAAGAUACCUUUAUCGGAAACUAUGAAAUUUCCUGAAUAAUGGAUUUAAAUAUAUUUUGAAAAUGGUAGGGGAUUGUUGGAGAAAUUUCUAAAAUAUUUAAUUGAAAAAGAAUAAUGAUUAAAUUAAUUUUAUGAAUCUUUUUAAUCAUAAGUUGUCACAGGAGUGAGCACGUUAAAAUGUUGUUUCCCUUCACCAAAUGACAUGGAUUUCUCUAUAAAUAGAGAUAAUUUAUAGACCUAAACACACAAAAAUUAUUUGUUUCAAGUGCCAAAAAUUAUAUCUAAGUCAUUAUUUUAUUUUUAUUGUGCACGAGAAUAAAUGAGAGAACUUUAUUCUGUAAAAUAUCGUUGAUUGAUGUGUUUAAUGUGAAUGUCCGAUUCAUGUUAAGGUUUCCAAAGUAUCCUGAAGGGGAUUCACGGGAUUACUCAUUUGCAUCUAAUUUGCCUAAAUUGGUAGGAGCGAAUCGAAUCUAAAAAAUUUAGUGUAAACACACGCUUUGGAAUUUAUUUUGUGCAACUUCGAUUAUAACAUCUUCAUCUUCUUCUUAUUCAAGUUUUGCAGCAGACCCCAACACAAACUCUAAUAUAUUUCAUUCAAAAUCGAAUAAUAAAAAAAUGAAGUACCACGAAUACGGUACGAGUACCCGAUACCGGUACUUAACUAUUUUAACAAUACUCAUUCUUCAAAGUCAAAAGGUUAAUCAAAUACAUCUUACACUCUUCGAAUGUCUUUUAAUAUUCUGAGUCUCAUAAAAAAAUCUUACUCUUUAUUUACUUUUAACAAAAGAGUAAACACAUUCGUUCUUGUAUAUUAAUUUAAAAUGAAUCUUUUAAGGUAAUUAUUAACUUUGCCUAGAAUGAUUUAAGUUGUUUUUUAUUCUCUUGGAAUUUAGAAUUUUUUUUAAAAGAUAUUUAAGAGGAUUGAGAAACACUUUUAAACACCUUAAAUUUAUGUGAUUUAUUUUAGAACUUUAUUUAAGAGGAUUUGAGAAAUAUUUUUAACUUUUCUUAAAAAUUUUUUUGAAGAUAUUUAAGAGGACCGAGAAAUACUUAAGGCUCUGUUCGGCAAGACAUAUUUUUGAGCUUAUGGCUUAUAGCUUAUAGUAUAUAAGCUUAUAUGAUAAUUUAGACGUGUUUGAUAAUGAUCUUUUCAUCACGAGCUUAUAGUUUAUUUUACUAACUUAUAGCUUAUUUUCCAUACGCUAUUUAAAUAGUAUUUUAGCUUAUAGUUUAUAAUUUAUUAUUUUUUCUUUCAGAUUUAUCUUUAUAUUUUAAUAAAAUUUCACUUUUAUCCUGUAUAAUUUAUUUUUAUUUAAAAUAAAAUAAUUAUAUAUUAAAUAUAUUUUAUAUUAUUUUACAUUUAUAAGUUAGUUUUACCAAACACUUCAAUUAUCUUAUUAACUAUUAAUCAUCAAUCAUCAACUAUAAGCUAUAAACUAUCCGCAACCAACCAUAAACUAUAAACUAUCAACUAACUUCUCAAUCAACCACUAUUUUUAUCAAAUAAAACCUAAGUAAAAAGUAGAUUUUCUUUUUACAAAUGUGCGUUACUAUUUUUUUAACUCUUUUGUAAUCUUUUAAAAUUAUUUUUGAAAGUAUAAUGAAUGAGAUAGUUAUUUUUUCUUCUAGAAUAGAUCAUUUAAUCGAAUUGGAUAAAUAAAUAAUUGUAUUUCUUAUCUUUUUAGUAUUUUAUUACUUGUUGUAUAUUUGUCUUCACUUUUGAUAAAUUAUUAUACUAUUCAAGACUCGGAUUCAACUAAUCAAAACUUUAAACUCAAGUAGAUUCACAUCACUCCUAUUUGAUAGUUCUUAAUUUGAAUAGUCCUCUCGACUAUCCAAAUAUCAUUUAAACAUAAUUUCGCGGCCAAUUGCUUUCGAGUAACCAUUUAAAUUAUUUUUAAAUGCGUAUAUUGGAUUAUAUUUUGCAACGAAAGAUCAACUUCAUGGGAUUGAGACAACUCGGAUCCAUGAAACAAAGGUGUAACAUAACAUCCAAGAUAAAACCAAACUAGUAUUUCCAAUAAUCAAAUCCACUAAAUCGGUUGAAAGGAGUUUUAUGAUUUGAUUACUUUCUUUUUCUUUUAUGAGGCAUUAUUGACCCAAGUGAAUGCUCAAUUACAAUAAAAAUCAUAUUCAACGGUACUACUAGUACUCCAUAACAUUAUUAUAAUAGAAUAAAAGGAUAUUGAAUGGUUUGUGAAAAUUUGAACAAACAGUUGCGACAGAUUAUGGGCUGUCAUGAAUUAUUUUUUCACGUAGAAUGACAGAAAACAUGAAUCUAACGUAAAACGUUAAGACCCCACAACACUAUCACUUUACGUACUGUCGAGUCAACCAACAAAAAAGUUCAUGUUUAAGAUUCAUUAACAUCACUUUUUUCCUUUUGAAACGUGGAAAAAUAACCUUGCAAGAUCUGAAUGCAAUAUAGAGAUUUUGGAAUGUAUAUCCCUUGCCUUGUGGGAGGAGCAAUACCCUAGCAAGAGAACAUAAAAGUCAGAAACUUUUCAGUUUGAGGUACUCUAUCUAUCAGUAUUAUUAGUUCUAACUAGCACUCGUGAAUAUAGCUGGAAUAUCAAACAAAAUGGCCUUAUGGCCCCCAAGACAAUUGCUACCUACUUGAGAUUCUGUAGUGUUUUAAGGUACACGAUGUGAAAAUGAGCUAUAGAUAGAUGUGUCAAAUGAAGCGGUUCCAAUCUAUGGCGCUAUAUUACAAAAUGGGCCCGACCGAACCACUCAUAGUUCAAAUGAGUUUUUCUUAGAAAAAUUUGCAUUCUAUUUCGUAACAGUUCAGAUUUUAGAAUUUGAAAAAUUGUCCUUAAUCCAGAAAAACUCUCUUUUAAAAUUCUAAAAUAGCAUUUAUGUUUUAGAUUCCACAGUUUCGUAACAGUUCAGAUUUUAGAAAUUGAAAAACUGUCCAUGAUCCACAAAUUCUCUUAUUGUGGUGACACAAUAUUAUUGAGAAUUGAGAAUGUAUAAGUGUUAUUAGUGUGUGUAAUAGUCUUAUAUUGGUUGAAAAUAUGAAGAAUUGAGUAUUUAUAAGUGAGAGAACUCACUCACCUAUCACCUUAAGAUUUUAGGUGAAUAUGUGGUGUGAAUAUGAGUUUUUCACAUAAGGACAUUCAAUCAAAAUACUUUCAAAUGUCAUAUCAUAUAAGUAAUUUAAAAUUUAAAGACUGAUUUGACGGGAGAUAUGAUUGUAAUUGAUUGACAGGGCACUGAACGUGUAUCGGGAUAUGGUUGUAAUUGGUUGACAGUGCACUGAACGUGUAUCCCGCCAACAGUGUACUACCUUUACCUUUAAUGCUGAGUGGAAUUUCAAAGAAUUUCCUUAAAUGGUUUGACUCAUUCUUCUAAUUGGUCGAUACAUUGAGCUAAUGAGUUGAUUCAUCCUGAAAAUUUUUCUUUACAAAUUGUCUACUGCCUCCGAUGUUUGACUCUACUUAAUUUCAUAUUGACUCAUUAGCGUAUGUAUCGGCUCAUUCCAUUUUAGAGUCAAUAUAUUUUAUACCAAAUUUUAAAAUUGCAUUUUGGCUAAAAAUUAGUUUUACUCAUUUCUUUUCUACAGUCACACAUACAUAUAAAUAAUCAUUCAUACAUCAUUUAUAAACGAUUGAAACCUGAAAGAUACAAAGAAUUGUCAUCAUCUUCAACCUCUCUUGACGCGUUCAUCAAUUACACAUAAUCAUUUUUUAUUAUUUGUUGGCAAGAAAAGUUUGAUAAGGUCCAAUUUAGGUUUGUGUAAUCAAAUUGGGUUGAAGUUUUCUUUGGGGGUUUCAAGGAUAAAUCUGUUAGGGUUGUUACUCCAAGAUCAAGGGUUAAUUUGGAGGUUUUUGCACAAGUCUUGUCAACUUCAAUAUUUUUACACUGUCAACCAAUCACGAAUGUGUAUCCCGCCAAGUCACAAGUUUAAUUUUAAAAUACUAGUAUGACAUGAUAGAAUGUUAUAAUUUUAUUAGAUGAUGCUGUAAAAACUAGUUUACAGUGACAUUGUACUACCUUUAAUAUUGAGUGGAAUUUCAAAGAAUUUAAAUCUGCUUUAAAUGGAUCGAUAUAAAGGAUAAAUGGAUCGAUAUAUCAUGUGAAUGGUUCGACUCAUUCUUAUUUGGGUCAACUCAAUCUGAAAGAUGUUUUUCAAAGAUUUGUCACUGCUUCUAAUUGGUCGAUACAAAGGAGAAAUGGGUCGAUACAUUGAGCUAAUGAGUCGACUCUCCCGUGUUUAGAGUUGACUCAUCCUGAAACUUUUUCUAUACAAAUUGUUUACUGCCUCCAAUGUUUGACUCUACUUAAUUUCAUAUUGACUCAUUAGUUGAUGUAUUGACUCAUUCCAUUUUAGAGUCAGUACAUUUUAUACCAAAUUUUAAAAUUGCAUUUUGGCUAAAAAUUGGUUUUACUCAUUUCUUUUCUACAGUCGCACAUACAUAUAAAUACUCAUUCAUAUAUCAUUUAUAAGCGAUUGAAACAUGAAAGACAAUUGGGGAACUGCCUAAACAAAUCUUGGUGCUCUCUCUUUCUCAAUUUUCUUUUUAGAUUUUGAUUAUACUUAGUGUAUAAUUUGAAUUGUUGAAAAUUCUGGUUGUGUUGAAGUGUUUAAAUUUGUUUGUGUAAAACCAUUGCAAUCUAAGCCAUUGCAAUUGAUUUGUUGUAAAUUCAACAUAAAGAGAAUUAAGCUUGGUGUAUUUCACACAAAAUGUUCGAUAAAAUUACUGCACACCAAGUGUUUGACAAAAUUCCUUUGUCAAGUUUAUUUUUGCUUCUCAUUGGAAAUCGUUUAUCUUAAGUGUGAUUUAUAUUCAAACUAACUAUAUUGAACUUGUUGAUUGGAUUUUCUCAUCUUUAGCAUACUUUAUGUUACGAUUUGUAUGCAUAUUCGAUCCUACCAAUAACGGUUCGGAUAGACGAGAGUCGAUCCAAAUUUGUUUUCGCUUGCCCUAGAAAAAUAUAUUUCAAAACAUAAUUUUAAUAAGAAAAUUUGCGUUAGGCGAUCUAUUCACCCCCCCUCCCCUUCUAGAUCGUCGUCCUCGUCUAAUAGUGGUAUCACGAGCACUGGUUUAUCUUGUGCUUCAAAUUUUGCUUAUUAGAUUAUGGCUUCCGAACACAUAAUAAACUUACGCGUAUGUUUUUUUUGUAUUUUAUUAAGAAACUUUUCAUCACGGUUCCUAAAAAUAAUCGUGGAUGGUCAUAAAAUUUGGAUGACAAGCUUCGAGUCUAAGCAUCAAUAUUUUUCUAUUUUUUCCAAUAAAAAUAAGUGUGUGUCUCUUCACAUUCAUUGUUCUUUACAAACUGAAUGUAUAAUAACUACGAUUGUUUCAUUCAGCCAUGAUUAUAUGUUAUAUAUUUCACUACAGCUAAAGCUUGCAACCGUUGUGAGAUUAUUUCCCACAAAAUUAAAACAUAACAAGUACUUUAUUUCUUUCAUAACACACAAGGAUGCCCUAGCGAACGAGACGACAAUGAUAGCGAAAUCUUCACCAUCUUCGUUCAUUUCUAGAAACGAAAUCGUCAUCCUCUUCGAUUCACGGUACGUGACCAUUCUCUCUUAUGAGUGCAAUAUUCUCUUAGGUAGUAUUUUUAAUGAUUUCGAAACUAGGUAGCUUAGAUCUUUGUGUAUUUAAACUUUUCAAUCUUAAACGUGCAUCAUCAUCAUCAUCAUAAAACAUGUAAGACUAUAUUACAUAAGUCAUCUCAUGCCAAAAUAUGAGUUUUUCACAAAAGGACAUUCAAUCAAAAUACUUUAAAAUUCCAAAUCAUAUAAGUAAUUUAAAAUUUAAAGACUGAUUUGACGGAAGACAUGAUUGUCAUUGGUUGAUAGUGUAAAAAUAAUUUACACUAUUAGAGCACCAUUCUUUUUUUCAGUGUAAAAUAUUUAUACACUAUCAACCAAUCAAGAAUGUGUAUCCCGUCAAGUCACAAGUUUAAUUUUAAAAUGCUAAUAUGACAUGACAGAAUGUUAUAAUUUUAUUGGAUGGUGGUGUAAAACUAAUUUACAUUGACAGUAUACUACCUUUAAUACCGAGUGGAAUUUCAAAGAAUUUGGAUCUGCCUCGAGUGGGUCGAUACAAAGGAUAAAUGAAUCGAUACAUCAUGCAAAUGGUUCGACUCAUUCUUGUUUGAGUCGAAUCAAUCUGAAAGAUGUUUUUCAAAGAUUUAUCAUUGUUUCUAAUGGGUCGAUACAAAGGAGAAAUUUGUCGAUAUAUUGAGCGAAUGAGUCGAUUCUCCCGUGUUUUGAGUCGACUCAUCCUGAAACUUUUUCUUUAUAAAUUAUCUACUGCCUCCAAUGUUUGACUCUACUUGAUUUCAUAUUGACUCAUUCAGAUGAUGUAUUGAAUCAUUCCAUUUUAGAGUCAAUACAUUUUCUACCAAAUUUUAAAAUUGCAUUUUGUCUAAAAAUAUGUUUUACUCAUUUCUUUUCUACACUCACACAUACAUAUAAAUACUAAUUCAUACAUCAUUUAUAAGCGAUUGAAACCUGAAAGAUACAAAGAAUUGUCAUCAUCUUCAACCUCUUUUGACACAUUCAUCAACUACACAUAAUCAUUUUUUAUUGUUUGUUGGCAAGAAAAGUUUGAUAAGGUCCAAUUUAGGUUUGUGUAAUCAAAUUGGGUUAAGGUUUUCUUUGGGGGUUUCAAGGAUAAACCUAUUAGGGGUUUUACUCCAAGAUCAAGGGUUAAUUUGGAGGUUUUUGCACAAGUCUUGUCAACUUGGAUUUAGUCGAGCGAAGGCUUUGAAGAACGGGGGUUCUUGCAAAGGAGUGGCGGUAACCGGAGGAUCAAUUGAAAGGCAUGAGGCAAUAUUUUGCAAUUUGGAUUUAGCCGAGUGAAAGCUUUGAAGAACGGAAGGUUUCGUUAAAGGAGUAGCAGUAAUCGAAGGAUCAUAUAGAAGAUCUUGUGUGACUUGAUCUUGCUAAGAUCAAGGGUAGAGAAUGAGCUAAGAUCAACAUCAAACAUAGGGUUUGGGGUUUGAAUUUUUACUACUUCUCUUGUAAACUGAUAUUGCAAAGGUUAAUUACAAUAUCUCAAUUCAAUUUCGAAUUGAGAGCAGAUGUACCCAUAGUGAGGACAACCGGGGAACUGCCUAAACAAAUCUUGGUGCUCUCUCUCUCUCUUCAAUUUCUUUUUAGAUUUCGAUCAUACUUAGUGUGUAAUUUGAACUGUUGAAAAUUCUGGUUGUGUUGAAGUGUUUAAAACUGUUUGUGUAAAACCAUUGCAAUCUAAACCAUUGCAAUUGAUUUAUUGUAACUUCAACACAAAGAGAAUUAAGCUUUGUAUAUUUCACACCAAAUGUUUUAUAAAAUUACUACAUACUAAGUGUUUGACAAAAUUCAUUUGUCAAGUUUAUUUUUACUAUUGGAAAUCGUUUAUCUUAAGUGUGGUUUAUAUUGAAACAAACUAUAUUGAACUUGUUGAUUGAAUUUUCUCAUCUUUAGCAUACUUUAUAUUAUGAUUUGUACGCAUAUUGAUCCUACCAAUAACGAUUCGGAUAGACGAGAGUUGAUCCAAAUUUGUUUCCGCUUGCCCUAGAAAAAUAUAUUUCAAAACAAAAUUUUAAUAACAAAAUUUUCGUUAGGCGGUCUAUUCAAGCCCCCCCCUCUAAAUCGUUGUCCUCGUCUAAAAGUGGUAUCACGAGCACUGGUUUAUCUUGUGCUUCAAAUUUUGCUUAUUAGAUUAUGACUUCGAACCAAAUGGGGCGUAUAAUAAAACGUCAGUUUUCAAUGGUGAGAACUUUGAUUAUUGGGAGGAUUGUAUGUGUAUCCACAUUAAUUGUAUUGAUAGAAAAGUAUGGAGCGCCAUCUAAAAUGGUCCAUUUGAAAUAAUUAUGGCUAAUAUGGAUGGUGUUGUUGUACCUAAAUCGGAAGCACAAUGGGAUGCAGAAGAUGAGAAAAAGUGGUCUAGUGACUGGAGAGCAAGGAAUAUUCUAAUCUUCGCCUUAGAAGUUGAUGAAUAUUACCGCAUUUCUCAUACAAAAUUAUUAAAGCUAUGUGGGACACAUUACAAGUUUCCUGUGAGGGUACUAAUAAAGUCAAACAAUCAAGAAUCAACACUUUAAAUCAAGAGUUUGAACUCUUUCACAUGAAGCAUGGUAAAACCAUUAUCGAUAUGCAAAAGAGAUUCACUCAUCUUGUAAAAUGUUUGAAUGCACUUGAUAAGCCGGUUUCCAAUGAUAUUGCUACUAACAAAAUUUUGAGAUGUCUUAAUAGGGAAUGGCUACCUAAGGUCUCCACCAUCAAGGAAGCUAACAACUUAUUGACUUUGGAUACUACAACUUUGUUUGGUAAGCUUGAAGAACGUGAACAAGAGUUCAUUAGCUUAGAGAAGCAUGAGAAGAAAGUUAAGAAAGAAAAGAACAAAGAAAAAGAGGUAAAAAAUGAGUCCAUUUCUAUUUUGGCUUCUAGUUCCAAGUCCUCAACAAAAGAGCAUGACGAAAGUGCAUCUAGUGAUAAUGAGAAGUCAGAUGAUGAAUAAAUGAUAAUUUUUUGUAGAAGGUACUAUAAGUAUAUUAUGAAAAAUGGAAUAAAGCAUCCAGAUAAGGAUCUCAAUAACUAUAGAAGGAAUUCAAAUAUAUCAAGGGAAGAUGAGAGUAAGAAGGGAAAAUCUAAAGGUUCCUGCUAUAAUUGUGGAAGAGUCGGUCAUUACAAGUCAGAUUGUCCAUUACUUAUUAAAGAUAAAGGAAAGGGCCAACAAAAGAAGUCCAGCAAGUCUAGAAGAGCAUACAUCGCAUGUGAUAGUGAUAUUGAAUCCUCCAAGGCGGUUAGCUCAAGCGAAAGUGAUGAUAUGACAAAUAUUUGCUUCAUGACCAAGCAAAAUAAGAACAAUGUAAGUCAUUCCAAGCACAAGAAGAAGAAUGUAAGUCAUUCUAAACAUUAACCUAUUGAUGAAAUGUCUUAUUCCUAAUUACAAAUUGCUUUUGAAAAUCUAUAUGGUGAAGCGGUAAAUGCUUUAAAAGGUUGGAUUCAAACAAACGAAUAUUUUCUAUUAUGAAACUAAAAUUUUAGAAAUGGAAAAAAAAUUGGAAGCUCUUAAGAAAACCAUGUUUGAUGUUCAAAAAGAUAAGAUUGAGGAUGCGAAACCUUCUUGGUUUGGUUGUGAAACUUGUCACAUUUGGCAAAAAAGAGGUUAAUAUUCUAAAAGCCAAAUUAGACAAGGCAUUAGAACCAAAAGUCACCUUAGCUAUUAAUCCUACAAAAUUAAAAAGAUCUGUAAAUGUGUCGUACAAGAAGUACAAUCAUGUGGAAAGGGAGUAUAAUAAUGAAAGUCACUCUCAUCGUCACUUGACUUGUCACUAUUGUUGUAAGAAAGGCAUACCAUUGCUAAAUGCAAAUUUAGGAUAUUUUUGGUUCCUAAAGGUGUAUUUCAAUGGUUUCCCAAGUGCAACAAUAUUUAUACUCACCAUCAAGGACCCAAUGAAAAUUGGGUACCUAAUAUUAUUGUUUGACUUUGUAGAGAAUUUUUUUUGACUUCUUGAAUAGAGCAUGAGAUCUUAAAAAGGAAAGCUCAAGGCAUAUAAAAGGUAACAUCUCCAUUAUUCAUUGACUUUGUGGCAAAGAAGAAGGGUGUUGUGACCUAUGAAGUUGACAAAUAUAAGUGCUAAACAAUGAAAAAGGUAGUGUAGGUAAAUCCACAUUUCACUAUUAUCUUCGAUAUUAUAAUUGCUUGAGAAUACUUACUACUAUUAAGGUUGAAUACAUCACUUGCGAUGUAUUGUAUCAAAGAAAUGUCUAGAAAGUUUUUUUUUCUUUUUCAUGAUGCAUAUGAAUCUUUAGAAGACAUACUCAAAGUCACCAAAGAUGGAUUAAUCACCCGGAAAUGGUAGAAUUUGAGGAGUAGAAAAGAUGACCAUCAAGUCAAGAGAAGACAAGUCUUCUAUAACAUCUUGGAAACUUGACCAAAAGCGUGACUAUACGCUUUUAGAUAAUUAUUUUCUGUUAUCUCUUAAAUUAUGUUUCAAUUCUUAUCUUAAAUCACUAAGUUGUCUUCUUUGAUGAGUAUUGGCCUAAGGGCAUGUUGUUUGAGUUAAAAUCAUCGUGUGGGAUUUUGUCCUACAUUCGUGAGAUCAUUAAUAUUUAGGUACCGAGUGUAUUUAUGAAAAUGAAUUGGACAAAUUCAACUUGAUAACAAAUGGAUUUCAUCAUUGGCUAUAUAAGUAAAUAAGUGUAAGUGAUCAUUUCCUUCAUCUUUCAUCCAUGAGGUAAUAUUGUUUCACUUCUUUCUUUGUGCAUAAGUUUAUUUUAAACUACAUGUAUUACUUGUAUGUCAUGUCUUAUUAUUGCUUAUCAUGCUCCAAAAGCUUUAAAUUAUUUCAAAUGGACGUGAAAAGUAUUUUCCUUAAUGGUUAUAUAAAUGAGGAAGUGUAUGUUUCACAACCUCUCUCUCGGAUUUAAAAACCAUGAGUAUCCUAAUCAUGUUUAUAAACUUAAACGAGAUUUGCUUGGUCUCAAACAAGCCCCUAGGACUUGGUAUGAGCGACUUAGUAAAUUUUUGCUUGAUCAAGGAUACUCUAGGGGGAAGGUAUAUACUACAUUUUUCAUUAAGCGUCAAGGAAAACAUCUUCUUCUAGUUCAAAUUUUAUGUUGAUGAUAUAAUAUUUGACUCCACUAACAUGAAACUAAUCAAAGAGUUUUCUAAGCUUAUGUAGAGUGAUCUUGAGAUGAGUAUAAUGUGGGAGUUAAAUUACUUUGUCAAACUUCAAAUCAAGCAACUAAAGGAAGAGACAUUUGUGUGUCAAUCAAAUAUUGUCACGAGUUGCUUAAACGCUUCGGAAUGGCAGAUUCGAAGUCUAUUGACACUCUGAUGCCCACAAAUGAAAACUUGGAUAGAGACGAACAUGGUAAGGAUGUUGACAUUAAAAUGUAUAGAGGUGUGAUCGGAUAUCUUCUAUACCUCAUUGCAUCAAUGCCUGAUAUAAUGUUUUGUGUGUGAAGUGUGCUCGGUAUCAAUCUGCUCCCAAGGAAUCAUAUUAAAAAGUUGUAAAGCACAUUCUUAGAUCCCUUUAGGGUACAUAUAAGUAUGGACUUUGGUUUUCCAAAUGGAGUGAUUAUAGUUUGGUUGGUUACUCUAAUUCUGAUUUUGCCGGUUGCAAAUCGGAUAAGAAAAGUACUGGUGGAACAUGUCACUUAUUUUCAAACUCCUUUAGUUAGUUGGUAUAGAAAGAAGCAUGUCUUAGAUGCUUUUUCAAUUGUCGAGGCGGAAUACGUCGCAUCCAGUAGUUUUUGUGCUCAAAUUCUUUGACUCAGACAAUAAUUACUUAACUUUGAUAUUAAACUUGAACGUAUUCCUAUCAUGUGUGACAACCCUGGUGCGAUCAACCUAACCAAAAAUAAGGUGUUACAUUUUCAUACUAAACAUAUUGAGAUACAUCGCCAUUUUCUACGAGACCAUGUUGAAAAAGGUGAUGUCAUUUUUGAGCAUGUUGAUAGCAAAAAUCAACUUGCAUAUAUUUUUAUAAAACCACUUACGACUGAGCCGUUUUUCAAUAUUCAUCGGGAAUUAAGCAUUCUCGAUAUCUCAAAUCUUGCCUAACAUAUGUUGAUUGCAUGCACUUUCUAUAUCUUGUUUAACUUUUGUUCGAAAGUUCAUUUUCGUGUGAAGUGCAUUCUCCAUCUCAUCCUAUGAGGUAAUAUCGCUAUAUAUUUAUCUCUUUGCCCUUAAAGUUUCAAUGAGGUAUGUUGUUUAACUAUGACUAAAUUAAUUGCAUAUUUAUAUUCCAUGACUAUGUGAUAUAAAUGAUGAAUCAUGAAGUUAAUAUGUGUUCACUUCCAAAAAUCUCAAUUGAUUACACAUGUGUUUUCAAUAUAUAUGCUUAUAAUGACAUCUUGUUUGAUCUCAUCAUCAUGUGUAUCUCAUAUCAUUAACAUCAAAUACUUGAAGUAGUUGUAAUUAUAUGUGUGGAUUAACAUGUUAUAUGAAAUUCUGGUACGCAUAUAGCAGAUGUCGUAUACGAUGUCACGACACUAGGAUCGGGACAUGUCACACCAGAAACAAGUACACAGAUAACAGAUGUUGUAUACGAUGUCACGAGAUCAGGAUCAGAACAUGUCACAUCAUAAACAAUUACAGUGUUAAAGUAUAUAGUAGGAAGUAAAUAACACGGGUCAAUUGUUAACCUAGUUCGGUGCAACGUCACCUACAUCUUGGGACAUCCAAGCCAGGAAGGAAAUCCACAAUAAUAGUAUUAGUUUGAAGUUCUAAACAACAUCUGGUUUUACAAACUUAUCACCUAAUCAUUACCCUUGGAAUUUCUAUCUAAGACUCUCCUAGAUAUGAGACUCUUCUCACUUACCUUCAAUCACACAACAAUGAUAACAACUUCUAACAAUAAACAGAAGACACACUUCCAAUAAAACAGAAUCCACUCUUGCUUAAAAGCUCAUGAGUGAUUCACAAUUACAACUCAAAAAACUCAGUCCAAUUCAAGCAUCUAAGUGAUACAAGAAUUUCUCACAAAUAACAAUGAACAAACUAAACCCUAACAAAGACUAUUACAUACGCAACUUAGUUGUUUUCUUAGGUUUAGAAUCAUCCUUUAAAUAUCCCCAGAAUAGCAUGGGCUUUGGGCUAAAAAAUCAUUAGAUCCAAAACAAAUCAAAUUACAUCCAAUAUGAUUAAAUCAAAUAUGAUGUCUCCUUAAAUGUGUUGACAUCCAUUCUGCAGAAUUAAAUGUUUUGACAUAUGUUUUGCAUAAUCUUCUAUCAAAUCAAAUCAAAUCUAAUGUUUCCUUAAAUGUUUUGACACCAAUACUUAGGAAACAUUGCACAGCUAGAACCAAUAUUUAAGCUUCUAAAAAAAGCACUUUGAACCGCAAAAUGCGUGAAAUAAAUCAUCAAAGAAUAUUCACUAAUCUCACAUUAAAAAACAAAUCUUCCAAGAAUGUAAAACAACAGCAUGCCACAAUGUUGUACAAGCAUAUCAAGACAUCUUGUCCAACAUCUUUCUAUUUCACUUGUUUUAACAAAAUGCUGCCAAUCACAAAACACACAACCUAACAAUCUCCCAAUUUGGAAUUUUUUUUGGCUAAAAUAACCUUUGCAAAACAUAUCUUGUAAAAUCCAAUAAACACCUGAGAACUUCUUCAAAGAAAAAACACAAUAAACAAUCUUGGAACUUCUCUAAGAUACAUCAGAGGCAUACACGUCAUAAUCAGAUAAAAUCAGACUCACAGAGAAUGUCACAUCAGAGAGAAGUAAACUCUCACAACACAAACUUUCUGCAGAGAAAAAUAAAUUCUCCCAGACAAGAUGUCAAGACAUUUGGUAUGACUUCACAACAACCAAACAACACACAUAAACUAUCACUAUCACUAAGCAUGUCAUUAUUAAGCUAAAAGAGAAAAUACAUAUGCUCCCCCUAGAUAGCAGAACAAAGUCAAGAACUACUCCCCAUCCAGUAGUAUUCCCUCUCAAAGGGAAAAAUGCAUAAAUACGCAUAGGCAAAAGAGAACCAAACCACUACUCCCCCUUUUUAGCCGAAAAUUGACGAACAACCACAAAAGUAGUAGAGAAAAACUGAAAAUAGAGGUAGCAACACAUACGAAAUAUUAUGUUACAUACCAAAAUCACUAAAAGUGCUAAAAAUGUAGGGCAUAGCCAACAAAACAAAUACAAAAGAAAUAAUCAAAACAUGUCAGAUGUGAGAACUGGCAUUUGUUUCUUCAUCAGUAGCAACAUUUGCAUCAUCAUUCACAUCCUCCUCAUUUUCUUCUUCCACAUCACCAACCACAUUACAUCAAUAGCCUCCUGAGUUAAAGCUUUGAUCAGUCUUUCCAAUCUGAUUUUCUUUGUAGUGCAAGUUUUGAUGGUUUCAUCCAAAGCCUCACAUGUAUCUUUCAGUUCAGUAAUUAUUCCAUCCUUUGAGGUUGAUCUGGAAGUUUCCUUAUAAGAUGUCAUGACAAUAUUUGGGACAUGUGUCCCUGCAAACAACCUAUAGUGCAAGGAUAAAGGAGAUUCUCCCUUACUUGCUGCAUCAGAACUGAUUAAUAUCUCAGGGUGUUGGCUCAUAAUUAUUCCACAAAUUAGAGAGGGAAAAGUAAUAGGCAUUUUCACAGCAAAAGUACUAGUAUACUUAAGCGUUUGCUCAAAGACAUAAUACCCAAAAUCAAACAUGGUUUUGGUUCCAACAAUGUAAAUGAAUUUACCCAAACAUGUAGCUAUGGUUAAGGUAUGAUUUGUAGGAACCCAAUUGACAACUCCUAUCCUAUGAAACACAUCAUAAUUCACACUUAACCUGUUAGCUAAUAUCUUUCCCUUUCUUGGCCAGUGUGGAACCUGUUUGGAAGUGAUUUCAUACACCUUUUUGUACUCCUUACUCUUCUUAUUGUCACAAUCCGUAGGAAUGUUCAUAAUGAACUCCUUUACUAGCCUUUCAUAAACUUACCAAACCCAACAACACUCUUCAUUAAUCAUGCAUUCUCAAUAAUACUUACUACCUCCUUACAUUCAAGGGUAUCCUUCCUAACUUCUCUUUCCAAAACCAACCUCCUUUGGUACACAAACUUCCAAUUUUCAACAUUCUCAAUAGAGUGAAAAGAGAUGUUGUUAGUGGGAACUUCAGGCACAUUUGCAGGGACCUUUUUCCCAACAACUUUCAUUAGAGGUAUGAUGUCUUGAACAUUCUGCUCGACAUCAUACUUAAAGUCACUUGAAGGUGCCUGCUUCCUUUUCUUAGUAGGAGCCACAAACUUGCUUCAACCUUUAGUAGGUCCAACAAUAACACUUUUCUUGGGAGCCUUAGAUGGCUUUCUUGCAGAUGUAACAUACUUUUAUGUUCUAUUCCUUAAUCUUUUAGCAAUACUCGGAGCCAAUUUGUUUCCAAUAGGCUUAUCAUCAAAAUCUAGACCAUCAACAUUUACAAUAUUAAUAAACUUAUCCUUCUUCACACCAGUAAUAUCUUUUUCUUCAGACAAAAAUUUCUCCUCCUUAACAUGUAUACUUUUAUCAUCAUAGCCAUCUUUCUUAUUAUUAAUUGGAGUUUCAUGCAUCACUAAAUGGAGGGAAGAGAAAAUAUUGUUUACACACCUCCACAUUAGUAAUAUCUAUAACUCUUCAAACAUGCAAAUUCCUAAUUCGCCCCUUAACUUCUCAAACUGAUUUGCAUCCAAAGCUUUAGUAAAUAUAUUUACUAGUUACUUCUCAGUGGCCACAUGCUCAAGAGUAACAAUUUUUUCCUUAACAAGAUCCCUAAUAAAAUGAUGAUGAAUAUCAAUAUGCUUUGUCAUGCUAUGUUGAAUGGGAUUCUUGGAUAUAUUGAUUACAUUCAGAUUGUCACAAUAUAAUGUCAUGACUUCCUGCUUGACAUUGCAUUCCUUUACCAUAUGUUUCAUCCAAAUCAAUUGGAAGUAACUGCUUUCUAUUGCAAUAUACUCAACCUCAACAGUAGAUAAUGACACACAAUUUUGCUUCUUGUUGAACCAAGGUAUAAGAUUAUUUCCCAAGAAGAAGCAUCACCCAUAAGUACUUUUUCUAUCAUCAACAUUACCUGCCCAGUUUGCAUCACAAUACCCUACAAGCAUACAAUUAGAACUAUGAGAAUACAACAUGCCAUACUCACUAGUACCGUUAAUGUUUUUCAAGAUCCUCUUCACUUAAAUAAUAUGACGGAUUUUAGGCUCUGUCUGAUAUCUAGCAUAUACUCAUACAACAAAAGUGAUGUCUGGUCUGCUAGUUGUAAUAUAUAAAAGACUAUGAAUCAUACUCUUGUACAAACUUUGAUCCACAUCAACACCUUUUUCAUCCUUAGUUAAUUUCAAGUGAGUUGUUGCAGGUGUCUUUUUGUGACUAGCACUUUCUAAGCCAAACUUUUUCACUAUAUUCUUAGCAUAUUUUCUUUGAGAAAUGAAGAUAGUAUCAUCCAUUUAUUUAACUUGAAGACCAAGAAAAUAGGUUAAUUCACCAACAAGACACAUCUGAAAUUUAGAUUGCAGUUGCUUAACAAAAUGUUGAACCAUCUGGUUCGACAUCCCUCCAAACACAAUGUCAUCAACAUAUAUUUAGGCUAUCAUGAGUUUACCAUGCUCUUCUUUAAUAAACAAGGUCUUGUCUGUUCCCCCUUUCCUGUAGCCAUUGUUGACAAGUAACUCAAUUAACCUUUCAUACCAAGCCCUAAGUGCUUGCUUUAAACCAUAUAUAGCUUUAUUUAGUUUGAAAACAUCAUUUGGAAAGCUAUGAUCUAUGAACCCCUUGGGUUGUUCUGAAGGAGAAUUGCGAUCCAAAACGUAGCGGAAAUUAUUCUCCUUUAGAGAUCCUUACGAAUGGUCAUGAUCAGUGAUAGAAUAUUUACCUCUUGUGACGAUUGAAACCUUUGGUGCAGAUCUCUUAUGACGAUCAAAACCUUUGAUGCAGAUCCACGGAGCGAUCACGAACGUUGAACGAUGACAACGUCUCUACUCAGUCUACACGAACGGAUUCCUUCAAUCUCAGUGCUAGCUGGUACGAAUGAAGGCUUUGAGUGAGAGAGAGAGAGAGAGAAAACGAAAAUAAUGCAACCGCAAUGAAUGCUUCUACACAAGGGUUCUAUUUAUAGAACCACUUGUGUGGGCUUCAAGCUAAAAAGCCCACUUAAGUGUAUUUUGGCCCAUAUCUUAUAAUAUGCCCAAAAUCACUUAAGCCCAUGGUACCUUACCAUAUUUCGUAUUCUACUCAAGUACACCGUACCUUACGAUGUUCUAUAAUUCACUUAAGGGCACCGUACCUUACGGUAUUCCUUAGUUACUCUAUCUCUCAUCAAUCCGUCCUUUGUGUGUGACCCUGUAGGUUUUCGCGACGUUGGCAAUUAUAUUAAAUCACGCAUUUAACAUAAUAAACAGUGAGCGGUAUCUAGCAACACAUCACUGCUACCCAAGACACGAAAAUGUCAUGUGAUCUGACAAUUCCUUCUGUGAUAAUACUUAUGUGUAUAAUUACCCUUUUGCCCUUAUGUCUAUAUUGAACACAAGGCAUAGACCGUGUCAUCCUUGUCCAGUUCAAUAUUGGGCCCAUAGACAUUUAUCCUGUUAUGCAGGAUGGGCAAAUUCCAUCUAGGUCACUCAUGUCCCUCAGCAUGCUUCGUGGAGUACCCAUCAACUGUCUUUAUGGUUAUCCAGUUACGGACAACGUUGGAUCAGCAAUAAAGCACUCGACUCUACAUCUAGGGUCCAUAGUGGUUUCAGGUCGAAGAGUGGUAUACACCAUUAUCACCAUGAGAAUAACUUAUGACACUUUGCAUAACUUUCUAUAUAGUAUUCUCAUAGCGGGUCAAUCCGGUAUAAAUAUUACUCUUAAUAUUCAUACCUAUGUUUAAGACUUGAUAACUCCUUAUCCAUGAUCCAUGAGAUGUGAUCAUCAGUCUACAAACAUAAUAGUCUUAAUGCUUUAAUGUUAUCCCACUUCACAAUAAAGCUCGACUACGGAUACUUUAAGAAUAGUGUCCUUAUGUUUAAUGUGAUCUCAUGAUUAAGUCAUACUUGAUACAUUAAACAGACUAGCUAUUCUAGGGACUUUAUUAAACAAACAUAAUAAAGAAAAAACCUUUUAUUAUUAAUAAAUAAUUCGAUACAAGUACCAAAAGUAUUGGCCUCUAGGGCUUACACCAACAAUCUCCCACUAGCACUAGAUCCAAUCAUGCAUACCCCUAAUGCCCAUAGAUCUAGUAUGGCCAUCAUGCUUCUGCCGCGCAAGAGGCUUUGUCAGUGGGUCAACAAUAUUUUCAAGUGUAGGUUAUCUGCAUAUUUUCACAUCUCCUCUAUCUAUCAUCUCUCGAAUGAGGUGAUAACGCCUAAGUAUGUGUUUGGAUCGUUGGUGAGAUCUAGGCUCCUUGGCUUGUGCGAUAGCACCAUUGUUAUCACAGUAGAGACCAAUGGGAUCUACAAUGCUAGGAACUAUGCCAAGUUCACUAAUGAACUUUUUGAUCCAAACAGCUUCCUUUGCUGCACUUGAGGCAGCAAUAUACUCGGCCUUGGUUGUAGAAUCAACAAUUGUAUCUUGCUUUGAACUUUUCCAGCUCACAGCGCCACCAUUUAAGCAAAACACAUAACCAGAUUGCGAUCUAAAGUCAUCCUUAUCUGUCUGGAAGCUAGCAUCGGUGUAUCCAAUUACAGCCAACUCUUCCUGACCUCCAUAUAUCAAGAAUGAGUCCUUAGUCCUUCUUAAAUACUUAAGGAUAUUCUUGACAGCUACCCAGUGAGCAUCACCAGGAUCAGAUUGGUACCUACUCGUUGCACUUAAAGCAUACGAGACAUCUGGUCGAGUACAUAACAUGGCAUACAUGAUAGAUCCUAUUGCAGAUGCAUAUGGAAUCUUAUUCAUGCGAUCCCUUUCUUCCUUAGUUAAAGGGGAUUGUGUUUUUGAUAGACACAGGCCAUGUUGCAUAGGUAUGAAUCCUUUCUUGGAAUCAUGCAUAUUAAAGCGUCUCAACACUUUGUCUAUGUAUGUACUCUGACUUAGGCCAAGCAGUUUUUGUGAUCUAUCUCUAUAGAUUCUGAUUCCUAAUAUAUAGGCUGCUUCACCUAGGUCCUUCAUAGAAAAGCAUUUCCCCAACCAAGACUUUACUUGUUGUAGGGUAGGGACAUCGUUUCCAAUGAGUAAUAUGUCAUCUACAUAUAAUACCAGGAAAACGAUCAUGCUCCCACUAACCUUCUUGUAGACACAAGGCUCAUCUUCGUUCUUGAUGAAUCCAUAUUGUUUUACUGUUUCAUCAAAACGAAGAUUCCAGCUUCUGGAAGCUUGCUUCAAUCCAUAGAUUGAUCUUUGUAACUUACAUAUCUUUUGGGCUUCCUCUGGUAUGUCAAAUCCUUCAGGCUGUGUCAUGUACACAUCCUCAAGAAGAUUUCCAUUAAGGAAAGCAGUUUUGACAUCCAUCUGCCAUAUUUCAUAAUCAUGAUAUGCAGCGAUAGCAAGUAAAAUCCGAACAGAUUUAAGCAUUGCAACUGGUGAAAAGGUUUCAUCAUAGUCAACCCCAUGAAUUUGUUUAUAUCCUUUUGCAACCAGUCUUGCCUUAUAGGUAUGUACCUUACCAUCCAUGUCAGUCUUCUUUUUGAAGACCCACUUGCAUCCUAUAGGGUUAACUCCUACAGGAGGCUCUACCAAGGUCCAAACUUGGUUUGUGUACAUGGAAUCCAUUUCAGAUUUCAUGGCUUCUAGCCACUUCUCAGACUCGGGACCAGUUAUGGCCUCUUGGUAGGUCACAGGCUCAUCUUGAUCCAUGAGUAAUACAUCACCUUGAUCAGUUAUGAGAUAUCCAUAUCUCUCAGGUAGGUGACGUAUCCUGCUUGACCUACGCUGGUCUUGUUCUACUUGAGCAGGUUGCUCUUCCACAACUUCUUGUGUUUCCUGCUCUAAUUCCUCCAUAGGUGUAUCUAUGCUUUGUGAUUCUUGAAUUUCUUCAAGCUCUACUUUCCUCCCACUGGUUCCUUUGGAAAUAAAAUCCUUUUCUAGGAAAACUCCAGUUCGAGCGACAAACACUUUGCCCUCAGAAGGAUUGUAGAAGUAAUACCCUCUUGUUUCUUUAGGAUACCCCACAAAUAAGCAUUUGUCAGAUUUGGGCUCAAGCUUAGUUGAAAUUUGUCGUUUCACAUAAACUUCGCAACCCCAAAUCUUCAUGUAAGACAUAUGUGGUUUCUUACCACUCCAUAUCUCAUAUGGUGUCUUCUCAACCUUUUUGGAUGGAACACGGUUAAGUGUGUAAGCUGCUGUCAAUAGUGCAUGUCCCCAAAAGGAGUUUGGAAGAUCGGCGUGACUCAUCAUGGAUCGGACCAUGUCUAACAGGGUUCGAUUUCUUCUCUCAGAUACACCAUUCCAUUGGGGUGUUCCAGGAGGAGUAAGUUGGGAUAGGAUCCCACACUCUUUCAGAUGGUCAUCAAACUCUAGGCUUAAAUACUCACCACCUCGAUCUGAUCGAAGAGUUUUAAUAUUCUUACCUAGUUGGUUUUGUACUUCAUUCUUGAAUUCCUUGAACUUUUCAAAGGACUCUGAUUUGUGUUUCAUUAAAUACACAUAACCAUAUCUACUGAAAUCAUCAGUGAAUGUGAUGAAGUACUGAAAACCUCCUCUGGCUGGUAUGUUCAGUGGUCCACAUACAUCAGUAUGUAUGAGGGCCAAAAGAUCAUUAGCUCUUUCACCUUUUCCUGUGAAUGGAGACUUUGUCAUCUUUCCAAUUAAACAAGAUCUGCAUGUCUCAUAUGAUUCAUAAUCAAAAGAGUCCAAGAGUCCAUCUUUAUGGAGUUUGGAAAUGCGUUUCUCAUUUAUGUGGCCUAAUCGACAAUGCCAAAGGUAAGUUGGAUUUAACUCAUUAGGUUUCAUCCUUUUAGUAUUAAUGUUAUAAAUAGGCAUUUCAAGAUCAAGGACAUAUAGUCCAUUGUUCAUUUGUGCAGUAGCAUAGAAUAUAUCAUUCAAAUAAAUUGAGCAACAAUUGUUCUUUAUUAUAAAUGAAAAACCAAACUUGUCCAAACAAGAAAUGGAAAUAAUAUUCUUGCUAAUUGCAGGUACAUAAUAACAGUUCUCUAACUGAAUUAUUAAACCACUAGGUAAAGUCAAUACAUAUAUUCCUACGGCUAAAGCAGUAACCUUUGCUCCAUUGCCAACUCGUAGGUCAACUUCACCUUUUGCCAAAUCUCUACUUCUUUUUAGCCCCUGCACAUUUGUACAAAUGUGAGAACCACAUCCAGUAUCUAAUACCUAUGAUGCAGAAGUAGAUAAAUUUAUUUCAAUAACAAAAAUACCUGAAGUUGAAGUCUCUACUCCAUUCUUCGUAUCUUCCAGGUACUUUGGGCAGUUUCUCUUCCAGUGUCCGGUUGGAAGCAGGUUCCUGCCUUUGCUAUGCCUCCACUAGGCUUCAAAGCAGCAACAGUGGGUCUGGGUUUGGCAACUUCCUUGCGUUUCCCUUUAUCACACUGCUUGAUGGGCCUUUUGUUCUGUCUCUUUCCAUUUCCGAUCAUCAGAAUGGACUUCCCUUUUGACUUCAGGUUCUGCUCAGCAGUUCUUAACAUGCCUAGCAGUUCAGGAAGCGAUUUGUCCAUGUCAUUCAUAUUGAAAUUUAGGACAAAUUGACUGAAUCUAUCUGGCAACGAUUGCAAGAUCAAAUCAGUCACAAGUUCCUUUCCGAGGGGAAAACCUAACCUUUCAAGGUUUUCCACAUACCCAAUCAUCUUGAGUACAUGGGGACUUACAGGAGCUCCCUCAGCUAACUUGCUUUGAAAAGGGGCUUUUGAAACUUCAAACCUUUCAUUCCUUGCUUGCUCUUGAUAGAGCGUCUUCAGGUGUUCGAUCAUAUCGAAUGCUUCCAUGUUCUCAUGUUGCUUUUGAAACUCUGAGUUCAUGGUAGCUAGCAUGAGACAAGCAGUUUCAUUGGCAUCAUCGACAUGCUUCUUAUAAGCAUCUCUUUCUGCCUUAGGUGCAGAACUAGGAGGUUCCUCUUCAGGAACAGGUUUCUCCAAGACAUACAACUUUCUAUCAUGUUUGAGGAUAAUCCUCAGAUUUCGGUGCCAAUCCAGAAAAUUUGUCCCAGACAAUUUUUCCUUGUCAAGGAUUGAUCGCAAGAUGUUGUUAGAGGUGUUUGCUGUCAUGGUUAUCUACAUAAGGAUUAAGAAAAUAUAAGUAUCAUUGACAUAUUUAAUUAGGCCUUUAUUCAAAUAUGCUCCCACUAUUUUACUCAAAACAAAUGACCCUCAUCAUUUGAUUCGGAAAAUCCCGUUGGAAGAUUUUCUAGUGGGUCGAGAUCCAUAUUUCACUUCGUUCUAAGUCCGCGUAGGCGGAUUACACAAAACUAGGUUAUUUAGGUAGGAACUCCUUCCAAUUGUAUCUAAUACAACUCUCGAAAAUUUCAGUUGGGUGAAUAACUCCUUAUUCCAAUCCAUCAUAUGGAUCAUUUCCAACUCUUGCUUCUAAACGUAUAUAAUCUUAUUAUAGUUUGUUUAGUUAAGUUUGGCCCAUUGUUUUAGCAGUUGAAUAUUACAAUUAUCCCAUCGCACCUUACUAAUAUAAAACAUGCACCUCGCGUAGGCGAAACCUACAUUAUCCGAUACUAGUCUUGAUGAGUGCUAAAACUUGGAAAGCAUAAACUUAAUAUUUUAAUUUGAGGGAAUUGCAAUUAUUCUGAUCUCACCUGCUUAUUUAUCAUAUAAAUCGUCUCUCACAUGCAAAAACAUACAUUCACAGGCAUCAACAUACAUACACAUGCAUCAACAUACAUAAUGAAACAGUUAUGGGCCCUAGCGCAAUUGUUCUCCCAAGCCAAUGAGAGAACCUAAGCUAACCUAAUAACGAUCUAAGCUUCUCCAAGCAAAACAUAAUGAAACAGUUAUGGGCCCUAGCGCAAUUGUUCUCCCAAGCCAAUGAGAGAACCUAAGCUAACCUAAUAACGAUCUAAGCUUCUCCAAGCAAGAUCUUCAAGGUUGUCCUCCUUUGAUAUUGAAUACUUCUCUUUCUUCAUAACAUUGUCCUCCUUUGAUAUUGAAUUCUUCUCUUUCUUCAUAACAUUACAUUACAGAAGAACUCGUUUUACAUACGAGAGAUUGAGAUGAGAAAAGAAGUUACAUUAAGAGAUUAAAAGGAGAGGCACAACACGCAAGUCGUAUUUUAAAACCCAAAACAAGAUAAAGGAUAACUAAGGCCAUAACUGAUCACCACAAGGCAAUAAUAAUAAACACAUUAUUAUUAUUAAUUUUAAUUCCUUUAAUUACUUAAAACCAAAUCAAAUUUCGACGACCGAUCACACUACGCAGAGUUAGCCGGGGGUCCGCUGCCCGGUCAGCGGCCGAAAAUUUUAAUGAACAAUUCAUUUGAAAUCGGCGUCCUUUUGCAUCGACACAACUCUUACGCAGUCACAAAACAGAAACCCCGAGAACUCUGACUCUGUGAGUGUGACGACCGUCACAAGCAUGUUACGACCGUCACAGGCCCAUGACGAACGUCACGCAGCCAAAAACAGAAACGCCUAGAAUUCUGGAUCUGUGAAUGUGACGACCGUCACAAAGCACGUGACGUCCGUCACGUCCAGCUUGUUACGAUCGUCACAAGUCCAUGACGAUCGUCACGCGGCCAAAAACCACCGCUUUGAAACAGUCAACAGAUGUGUUCCAACAAGCCCUUAAUUCACAACUUCUUGACGACACAACCCUUGCGCCGUCACUAACCCUAAUGCACCAAUUUCAGACCGUCAAACACACCUCGAUUGUUGAUUCAGUAUGAUUGAUCAACAGGUCAUUGCUUCACCAUACUAAUGUCGGAUACUAAUGUCGGAUUCCGAAGCAAAUGACCAUUGAUCGCUCAAAGGAAAACAACCAUUUAGUGUUUGAAUGAACGAAACAGAAACAGUAUAUCAUAUAUAUCAUAUUUUGCAUUAGGAUUACUUAUAUCGUAUAUAAGUUGAUCGGUCUCAAUUGCGUAACCUAUGGACAAUCGGUGUAUCGCUGCUUCACCAUACUAAUGUCAGUUCCGAAGCAUAGUCAACAUCAAUCAUCCAACUCGUACACUCAUGAUGCCAAAUUUAAUUACCCGUUUAAUUAAUUGAUUCAUUCUGUCUUUUAGUCAUAUUAAUAUAGAAAAUAAACAACUAUCUGAUUCAUGGUUUCGUAAGUGGCUCUGAUACCACUGAAGGAGAAUUGCGAUCCAAAACGCAGCGAAAAUUAAAAUUUUCUCCUUUAGAGAUCCUUAUGAAUGGUCAUGAUCAGUGAUAGAAUAUUUACCUCUUGUGACGAUUGAAACCUUUGGUGCAGAUCUCUUGUGACGAUCAAAACCUUUGAUGCAGAUCACGGAGCGAUUACGAACUGAACGAUGAAACCGUCUCAAUACUCCGCCACGAACUGGAUCAUCUAAUCUCAGUGCUCAGCUGUACGGAAUGCAAGGCUUUGAGUGGUGAAGAGCAAGAGAGAGAGAGAGAGAGAGAAAACGAAAAUAAUGCAACCGCAAUAGAUGCUUCUGCACCAAGUUCUAUUUAUAGAACCAUGGUGGGUGUCAGCUAAGAAGUCCACUUAAAGUAUUUUGGGCCCAUUACUUAAUGAGAUACCCAAAUCACUAUAAGCCCAUGGUCUCUACCUAUUUCGUAUUCUACUCAAGUACACCGUACCUUACGAUGUUCUACAACUCACUUAAGUGCACCGUACCUUACGGUGUUCCUUAGUUACUCUAUCUCUCAUCAAUCCGUCCUUUGUGUGUGACCCUUUAGGUUUUCGUGACAUUGGUAAUUAUAUUAAAUCAUGUAUUUAACAUAAUAAACAAUGAGCGGUAUCUAGCAACACAUCACUGUUACCCAAGACACGAAAAUGUCAUGUGAUCUGACAAUUCCUUCCGUGAUAAUACUUAUGUGUAUAAUUACCCUUUUGCCCUUAUGUCUAUAUUAAACACAAGGCAUAGAUCGUGUCAUCCUUGUCCAGUUCAAUAUUGGGCCCAUAGACAUUUCUCCUGUUACGCAGGAUGGGCAAAUUCCAUCUAGGUCACUCAUGUCCCUCAGCAUGCUUCGUGGAGUACCCAUCAACCGUCUUUAUGGUUAUCCAGUUACGGACAAUGUUUGAUCAGUAAUAAAGCACUCGACUCUACAUCCAGGGUCCAUAGUGGUUUCAGGUCGAAGAGUGGUAUACACCAUUAUCACCAUGAGAAUAACUUAUGACACUUUGCAUAACAUUCUAUAAGUAUUCUCAUAGCGGGUCAAUCCGGUAAUAAUAUUACUUCUAUAAUUCAUACAUAUGUUAGACUUGAUAACUCCUUAUCCAUGAUCAUGAGAUGUUGAUCAUCAGUCUAUAUACAUAAUAGUCUAAUGCUUAAUGUUAUCCCACUUCACAAUAAAGCUUGACUAUGGAUAUUUUAAGAAUAAUGUCUUAUGUUUAUGUAUCUCAUGAUUAAGUCAUACUUGAUACAUAAACAGACUAGCUAUUCUAGGGACUUUAUUAAACAAACAUAAUAAAGAAAAAGCCUUUUAUUAUUAAUAAAUAAUUCGAUACAAGUACCAAAAGUAUUGGCCUCUAGGGCUUACACCAACAUGUUCAACAUAUAAUUCUUCAUUUAAGUACCCAUUCAAGAAGGCAUUUUUCACAUCCAUCUGGAAUAACUUGAAUUUUAGCAUACAUGCCAUUCCCAAGAGCAAUCUUAUAGAUUCAAGACGAGCAACAGAUGCAAAAGUCUCAUCAAAAUCAACCCCUUCAAUUUGAGUGUAUCCUUGAGCAACAAGCCUAGCCUUGUUUCUGGUCAUAAUUCCAUUUUCAUCAGAUUUGUUCUUGUAAAUCCAUUUUGUGCCAAUAACAUUCAUCCAUUCAGGCCAAGGAACUAGGUCCCAUACUUUAUCCCUUUUGAAUUGUCCUAAUUCUUCUUGCAUAUCAUUGAUCUGUAAUUUAAUAAUCAAGGCCUCCUUCACAUUUUUAGGUUUAAACUCUGAGACAAAGCAAACAUUGGAUAUCACAUCUCUAGAUCCAAUGGUGAUCCCUUCAUUAAGAUUUCCAAUGAUAAGUUCCUUUGGAUGAUCUUUCUGAAUUCUAAUAGAGGGACCUUUAUUGGCUUGAGGGUUAUCUAAUUCAGUCCUUGCUGGCUCAAUGUUGGACUCAAUGUCUUCCAUAUUUUUUGAAGCAUCAGUCUGCUGAGAUGAUGUUCCAACAUCUUCAUCGACAUCAGUCCCUUUCAUAAUAAUUGAAUCAUCAACCACAACAUUAAUGGAUUCCAUCACAACCUUGGUUCUGGAUUUAAAUACCUUGUAAGCUCUAUUAUUUGUAUAGUAACCAAGAAAUAUCCCUUCAUUACUUUUGGGAUCCAUCUUUCUCCUCUGUUCAUGAACAACCAGAAUGUAGCAUUUACUCCUAAGCACAUGAAAAUGUUUAACAAUAGGUUUCCUUCCUUUCCAUAAUUCAUAGAGAGUACAUGAUAUACCAUCUCUCAUAGUAACACGAUUGUGGAUAUAGCAAGCAGUGUUAAUUGCUUCAGCCCAAAAAUGAUAAGGAAGAUUUUUUGGAUGAAGCAUGACUCUAGCCGAUUCUUGUAAUGUUCUGUUCUUAUGUUUUAUAACUCCAUUUUGCUGAGGAGUGAUGGGAGAUGAUAACUCAUGACCAAUACCUUCAGAAGAAAAAAAUUCAUAGAAUUUUUCAUUUUCAAAUUCCUUCCCAUUGUCACUCCUGAUUCUAACAAUCACACUUUCCUUUUCUCUUUGAAGACGUUAACAAAGGCCUUUGAAUACCUCAAAAGUGUCUGAUUUUUCUUUGAUACAAUUCACCCAAGUAAACCUUGAAAAAUCAUCAACAACCACAUAUACAUUCCUCUUUCCACAAAUACUUUCAACUUGCAUAUGCCCCAUUAAGUCCAUAUGAAGAAGUUAUAGAGCUCUGGAAGUAGUCUGAUGUUGCAACUUCGGGUGUGACAUCUUGGUUUGCUUCCCAAUUUGACACUCACCACAAACUUUACCCUCCUUAAUUUUUAGUUUUGGUAGACCUCUAAUAUCUUCUUCAGACAUAAUCUUCUUCAUACCUUUGAGAUUCAUAUGUCCAAGCUUCUGGUGCCACAACCUGACUUCAUCUUCCCUAAACAUCAAACAUGUGGAAGAAUAAGUAGUUUCUUGUGGUACCCAUAAAUAGAAGUUGUCUUUAGACAUAACCCCCUCAUCAGAACUUCAUUCUUCUCAUUGGCAACCAAACAUUCUGACUUGGUAAAAUUGAACUUUAGACCUUGAUCACAUAACUGACUAAUGCUGAUCAGAUUAGAAGUCAAUCCUUUUAUAAGAAGAACAUCAUAAAGUCUAGGAAGUCCAGUAUACAGUAACUUUCCUAUCCCUUUAAUUUCACCUUUACCUUCAUCACCAAAAGUGACAAAACUGGUGGAAUAAGACUUAAUAUCCACUAAAUACUUCUUGACACCUAUCAUAUGUCUAGAAUAUCCACUGUCAAAGUACCAGUCUUCUCUAGGUUAAGCUCGAAAAGUAGAAUGGGCUAUAACACAAGUAUCAACAACCAUAUGUUUCCAUUCAUUUCUAGUUUUAAUCAUCACAUGAUCACCCCUAGGAUAUGUUGGAUGUUUUGGAUAACCAUACAGUCUAUAACAUAAAGGCUUUAUAUGUCCAUAUUUACCACAGUAAUGAUAUUCCAAGGCAAAAACUUGACUUUAGUUUGGGUUUCCUGAUGUCUCAUAGGAUGUUGUAACAUUUGGUCGAACAUCAUGGGUUUUUUACUUUCAGAGAUUGGUAAUCAAAACCUAUACCUUUUAAGUUUCCAGCCCCUUUUCCAACUUGAAGAAUUUCAUCUAACAUAUCAGAUCCAUUGUUCAACAUUCUUACUGAUUUGGUCAUGUUUUCAAGUUUAGAAUUCAAAAGGGUUACCUUAUUUUCAAGAUCAGUGAAAGUAUAUGAAAGUUUAUCUUUUUCAGCCUGUAGUUGAGUUAUGAUUCUCUUCUACUUUUCUCCUAUCUUCCAAACCUCUUCGAUUCUGACAGAAGGCUCUUUGUAGGAAGCAUACAAUUCUUCAUAAGAGACAUCCUUAUCACAUAAAUCUUAAUCAUAUUCAUAUAUACCAGUGAAAGUUGUAACAUGCUUAGAAGUUUCAUCAUCAGUUUCACCUUCAGAAUCAUUAGACCAAGAAACAGACAAACCCUUCUUUUAUUUCUUGAGAUACAUGGGACAUUCUGAUCUAAUGUGACCAAAACCCUCACAUUCAUGACACAAAAUACCUUUUCCUUAAUUGGGAUUUUCCUAUGUUCUUGCUUUUCUCUGAGAAUCGUUGUUCUUACUGAUGUCGAAUGACAUGUUCUUGACAUAAAUAUUAACUUCCUAUCUAUUUUCUUCAACACCUUAUUGAAUUUCCUCCCAAGAAGCAGAACGUCAUUGGAAAUUCCUUCAUCAAUAUCCAAGUCACAUUGAUCCUCUUCAUCCUCAGUGUUGGAGAUAAAAGUUAUGCUCUUGUUCUUCUUUUCAGAUCUAUCAUUGAUAGCCAAUUUAAAAGUUUGAAGUGACCCAAUAAGCUCAUCCACUUUCAUGUUGCAAAUGUCUUGUGUUUCUUAAAUAGAUUUGACCUUCACGUCAAACAUCUUAGACAAAGACCUGAAGAUUUUUCUAACAAGUUUAUCCUCUGACAUCUUCUCUCCCAAGGCACUAGAUGAAUUGGCAAUAUCAAGAAUAUUCAUGUGAAAAUCAUGAAUACACUCAUCAUCUUUCAUCCUGCGAUUCUCAAAUUUGGUGGUGAGAAGUUGAAGUUUUGAGAUUUUUACUUUUAAUGUGCCUUCAUGAGUGGUUCUGAGGAUUUCCCAUGCAUUUUUUCCAUAGUACAAGUAUUUAUUAACCUGAAUAUAUUUUUUUCAACUCCAUUGAAUAAGGCAUUCAAGGCGAUGAAGUUUCCAAGAGCAAGUUCAUCUUUGUCCUUAGACCAGUCCUCUUCAGGCUUCAAAUUAGUUGUAUCAUUCCCAUCUUUGUCUUGCACCACAUGAUGUUCUCAACCUUUGAUAAUUGCUUUCCCGGUUAUGUUAUCCAUAAAUUUUAGAAAUGCCAUCAUAUGUGCCUUCCAGUAAUCAUAGUUGAUACCAUCCAGAAUAGGUGGUAUGUUGAUAAAUCCUCCUUCCUUGUCCAUAGUACUAGAAAUUAUCUCCCUAGAGCUCACCCAAAAUAGAACAGGGUGCCUGCUCUGAUGCCAAUUGAAAUUCGGGUACACAGAUAACAGAUGUCGUAUACAAUGUCACAACACUAGGAUUAAGACAUGUCACACCAGAAACAAGUAUGCAAAUAAUAGAUGUCGUAUACGAUGUCACCACACCAGGAUUAUGACAUGUCACACCAGAAACAAUUAUAGUGUUAAAGUAAAUACCAGGAAGUAAAUAACACAAAUCAAUUGUUAACCUAGUUUGGUGCAACAUCACCUACAUCUGGGGGCAUCCAAGCCAGUAAGUAAACCCACUAUAAUAGUAUUAGUUUGAAGUUCUAAACAACCUCUGAUUUUACAAACUUCUCAUCUAAUCACUACCGUUGGAAUUUUUAUCUAAGACUCUCCUAGAUAUUAGACCCUUCUCAUUUACCUUUAAUCACACAACAGUGAUAACAACUUCUAACAAUAAACAGAAUACACACCUACAAUGAAACAAAAUCCACUAUUGCUUAAAAUCUCAUGAGUGAUUCACAAUUAUAACUCAAAAAACUUUGUCCAAUUCAAUCAUCUAAGUGAUACAAGAAUGGCUCACAAAUAAUAAUGAACAAACUAAACCCUAACAUAGACUAUUACAUACGCAACUUAGUUAUUUUCUUAGGUUUAGAAUCAUCCUUUAAAUAGACCUAGAAUAGUAUGGGCUUCGGGCUAAAAAAUCAACAUAUCCAUAACAAAUAAAAUCACAUCAAAUCUGAUCAACUUAAAUAUGAUGUAUCCUUAAAUGUUUUGACAUCCAUUCUGCACAAUCUUCUGCAGAAUUAAAUCAAAUCUAAUGUUUUCUUAAAUGUUUUGACAUCCGUUCUGCAUAAUCUUCUGCAGAAUCAAAUCAAAUAUAAUAUUUCCUUAAAUGUUUUGACACUAAUACUUAGGAAACAUUGCACAGCUAGAACCGGUCUUUAAGCUUCUAAAAAAGCCCUUUGAACCGCAUAAUGCGUGAAAUAAAUCAUCAAAGAAUCUUCACUAAUCUCAUGCUAAAAAACAAAUCUUCCAAGAAUGUAAAACCACAACACGCCAUGAUGUCGUACAAGCAUGUCAAGACAUCUUGUCCAACAUCUUUCUAUUUCACUUGUUUCAACAAAAUGCUGCAAAUCACAAAACAGACAACCUAACAUUAUGUAUCUUUUCCAUUGCAUGAAAAAUGCAUUUAUGCUUUCAUGUCCUUUUGUUUAUUGAAUUCUUAUGUUGCAACCUUUUAUGACAAUUGUGAAUUGAAUAUUAUAUUGCUAUACUUGGUUGUGUGUUUAUGAUUUAGUUGUAUUUUUCAAUUAAGACAUAAUUUCAUGUGAGUGUUUGUCUUAAUUGAUUCAUUUAAUCUUUGCAACGCCUUUGAGUAUGUUUAAUUCUAUAUGUUGUUGUGUAAUGAUUCAUGAUGCUUCUCACGUUUUUCUGUCUUUAUCUCUUUUUGAUGUUGUCAAAAGGGGGGAAACACAAGGUUUAUGAUGCACAUAUUCAGGGGGAACUUUGCAAAAGACAACAAGAGUUCCUAGUAUAUUUUUCCAUCAUCAAACAGAGGGAUUAUGUGAGUGUAAUAUUCUCUUAGAUAGUAUUUUGAAUGAUGUCAAAACUUGGUAGGUUAGAUCUUUGUGUAUUUGGACUUUACAAUCUUAAAUGUGCAUCAUCGUCAUAGUAAAACAUGUAAGACUAGAUUACAUAAGUCAUCACAUGCUAAAAUAUGAGUUUUUCACAAAAGACAUGCAUGGGUCGAUACAUGUUGAGUAUGGGUUGAUACACACUGAGUGGAUUUUCAAAGAAUUCAAAACUACCUCAAAUGGGUCGAUAUAAAGGAUAAAUGGGUUGAUACAUCCUAUGAAUGGUUCGACUCGUUCUUGUUUGGGUCGACUCAAUCUGAAAGAUGUUUUUCAAAGAUUUGUCGCUGCUUCUAAUGGGUCGAUACAAAGGAGAAAUGGGUCGAUACAUUGAGCGAAUGAGUCAACUCUCCCGUGUUUGGAGUAGACUCAUCCUGAAACUUUUUCUUUACAAAUUGUCUACUGCCUCUAAUGUAUUAACUCUAUUUGAUUUCGUAUUGGCUCAUUCAGCUGAUGUAUUGACUCAUUUCAUUUUAGAGUCAAUACAUUUUGUACCAAAUUUUAAAAUUGCAUUUUGGCUAAAAAAAUGUUUUACUCAUUUCUUUUCUACACUCACACAUACAUAUAAAUACGCAUUCAUGCAUCAUUUUUAAGUAAUUGAAACCUGAAAGACACAAAGAAUUUUCAUCAUCUUUAACCUCUCUUGACGCAUUCAUCAACUACACAUAAUCAUUUAUGAUUGUUUGUUGGGAAGAAAAUUUUGAUAAUGUCUAAUUUAGGUUUGUGUAAUCAAAUUGGGUUGAGGUUUUCUUUGCGGGUUUCGAGGAUAAAAUCGUUAGGGUUUUUACUCCAAGAUCAAGGGUUAAUUUGGAGUUUUUUGCACAACCCUUGUUAACUUAGAUUCAGCGAAGCGAAGGCUCUGAAGAACGGGGGUUCUUGUAAAGGAGUAACGGUAACCAGAGGUUAAAAUGAAAGGCUUGGGACAAGAUUUUGCAAUUUGGAUUCAGCUGAAUGAAAGCUUUGAAGAACAUAAUGUUCAGUCAAAAGAGUAAUGGUAACUGAAGGAUCAUAUUGGAGAUCUUAUAUGACUUGAUCUUGCUAAGAUCAAGGAUAGAGAAUGAGCUAUGAUUAACAUUAAACAUAGGGUUUAGGGUUUGAAUUUCUACUACUUCUCUUGUAAAUUGAUAUUGCUAAGGUUAAUUACAAUAUCUCUAUUCAAUUUUGAAUUGAGGACAGACGUGCCCAUAGUGAUGACAAUUUGGGAACUGCCUAAACAAAUCUUGAUGUUCUCUCUCUCUCUCAAAUUUAUUUUUAGAUUUUGAUCAUACUUAGUGUGUAGUUUGAAUUUAUGGAAAUUUUGGAUGUGUUGAAGUGUUUAAAACUAUUUGUGUAAAACGAUUGAAAUCUAAACCAUUGAAAUUAAUUUAUUGUAACUUAAACACAAAGAGAAUCAAGCUUGGUGUAUUGCACACCAAGUGUUUGACAAAAUUACUCUGUCAAGUUUAUUUUUACUUCUCAUUGGAAAUAAUUUAUGUUAAGUGGGGUUUAUAUUGAAACAAACUAUAUUGAACUUUUGGAUUGGAUUUUGUCAUCUUUAGCAUACUUUAUAUUAUAGUUUGUACGCAUAUCUUUCCACCAAUAACGGUUCUGAUAGACGAGAUUCGAUCCAAAUUCGUUUUCACUUGCCAUAGAAAAAUAACUUUCAAAAUAAAAUUUUAAGAAGAAAAAAUUCAUUAGGCAAUCUAUUCAACCCCCACCCCUUUUAGAUCGUUACCUCUUCUAACAUCUCCCUUUGACGCUUCUGAAUGUUUAUGUUCUUCGAUAGGGUUAUUUACCAUUCUCUCUCUCUCUGAUGCUUUUGAAUGUUUAUGUUCUUCUCUAGGGUUGUUGAUUUAUUUUUUUAAUAGAUAAAUGAUAUUAGGAUGUUGUGUGUAUUCACAUUGUCAUGUGUAUUGUUCAUGUUACAAUGUUCAUGUUUUAUUCAGAUUUUGUGAAUAUGCUUUAGGUUAUGGUGUUGGAUAUGCAUAUGCAUAUAAUCAUAUUAGGAUGUUGUGUGUCUAGUAUUAAUGUUCCAUUCAAAUUUGUCUUUUGAUAUAAAUUUCAGAAUUUGUUAUGGAUCGUAGUUGGAUGAAAGUUGAUAUAUUAGGUCCGAUGUAUGAGAAAUAAGUUAUUGAAUUCCUUGAAUUUGCCAAAAAAAAAAGUUCUUGACAAUAAUGGCAUCUUUUAUUGUUCUUGUGUUGUUUGCGGGAAUAUAAAAAAACGGUCAAAGAAAGAAAUAUUACAUCACAUAUGUUAUGAUGGAAUAUGUCAAAAUUAUACAACAUGGAUGUAGCAUGGAGAAGUGGAUAAUAAUCGAAAUACAAUGUCACAAAUGGAUGAAGAUGAUGAAGAUAUGGAUCAUCGACUAAAAGAUACGAUCUGUGAUAUUGGAGAAUCAUAUUAUAUGAAAGCCCAUAUUUAUGAUACUUUAUGUAGCAACAAAGAUGCACUUUUAUAUAAGGGAUGCACCCAUUUUAUAUGAUUGUCUGUGUUGUUAAAAUUGUUUAAUCUGAAGACAAAAGGUGGGUGGUCGGAUAAAAGUUUCACAAAAUUGCUUGAUUUGUUUAAACAAAUGCUACCAGAAGAUAAGAAUUUGUCGGAUUAUUAUUACGAGGCCAAGAAGACAUUGUGUACAAUGGGUUUUGAGUAUGUCAAAAUACAUGCAUGCCCUAAUGAUUGCAUACUAUACAUGAAGUAUUAUGAAAAUUUGGAUCAAUGUCCAAAAUGUAGUGAGUCGCACCACAAGUUGAAGAACAAUAAUGGUGAUGACAAUGACAUUGUUAGUAAGAAGUGUCCUCUUGCUAAAGUGUUAUGGUACUUUCCAAUAAUUUUAAGAUUAAAGAUACUUCUUGAUAAUGAGAAUGACACAAAGAAUAGUAUAUGGCAUCCAGAUGAAAUAAAAUAUGAUGAAAAAAUUUGCCAUGUAGUUGAUUCUUUGCAAUGGAAGAUAAUUGAUUCAUUGUUUCUGGAUUUUGGCAUUGAGCCAAGAAACCUUAGGCUUGGGCUUGCCAUAAAUGGAAUGAACCCCUUUAGUAAUCUGAGUACUAACCAUUCUUCGUGGCCUAUUCUUCUCACGAUUUACAACCUAUAUCAUUGGAUGUGCAUGUAUAUGAUGUUAAGUAUGAUUUAUGGACCAAGACAACCUGGAAACGGCAUAGAUGUUUAUAUAAGUCCAUUAAUUGAGGAUUUGAAACUUUUAUAGGAUAAAGGUGUUGACAUUGAUGAUGCAUAUUCUGGUGAAAAGUUUAAGAUGCGUGAAAUGUUAUUUUGAACAAUCAACGAAUUUCCUACAUAUGGUAAUUUGGUUGGAUAUAGUGUCAAAGGACAUAAAGCAUGUCCUAUAUGUGAAUCUGAUACCUAUUUUCAUCAGCUUGAGUUUGGAAAAAAGACAGUUUACCUUGGGCAUUGGAAAUUUCUAAAACUCAAUCAUCCUUAUCUUAAAUUAUGGAAGGUUUUUAAUGGAGAACAUGAGUUUGAGAGCGCUCAUAAACCUUUAACUAGCGAUGAAGUUUAUCAACGACAAGAACACCUUACUAUUUUCUUUGGAAAGAAUAAAGAUGGUCAUGCUGAGAGAAAUAUUUGGAAAAAGAGAUAGGUGUUUUUUGAUAUUCCAUAUUGGUCUAGACUCGAUGUAAGAUAUUGUCUUAAUGUGAUGCAUGUGGAGAAAAAUGUGUGUGAUAGUUUGAUAGGAACACUUCUAAACAUUCCAGGAAAGAGUAAAGAUAAUAAGAAUUCCCGUUUAGAUAUUGUGGAGAUGGGUAUAUGAAAAUAGUUGGCUCCAGAAGAUAAAGGAAAAAGUUCUUAUUUGCCUCCGACAUGUCACACUCUAUCUAAAAAAAGAAAAGAAAAGUUUUUGCGAGUGUUGGCAUGGUAUCAAAGUUUCCCAAGCCUAAUCAUCAAACAUCAAGAAACUUGUAUCAUUGAAAAAUAUCAAGUUAAAUGGCUUAAAAUCUCAUGAUUUCCAUGUCUUGAUGCAACAACUUCUACCAAUGGCUAUCUGUGGUAUCCUUCCAAAAAUUGUAAGAGUAACUAUAAUUAGAUUGUACUUAUUCUUCAAUGCCAUAUGUAAUAAAGUUAUUGAUUUCAAAAAAUUAGAUGAAUUAGAAGAUGAGACCACAAUAAUAUUGUGUCAAUUGGAGAUGUAUUUUCCUCCAUCAUUUUUUGACAUUAUUGUUCACUUACUUGUUCAUCUAGUCAGAUAAAUCAGAUUUUAUGGUCCAAUUUAUUUAAGGUGGAUGUAUCUUAUAGAGCGAUAUAAAAAAAUAUUUAAAUGAUAUACUAAGAAUCAUCACCGACCAAAAGCUUUGAUCGUUGAAAGGUACAUCACAAAAAAAUCUCUUGAAUUUUAUUCAAACUAUUUAUCGAAAGAAUAGUCUAUUGGAAUUCCAAAGUCUCGUCAUGCUGACAAAUUUGAAGGUAGAUGUACUCAAGGUUUAAAUAUUAAGUCAAUGGAUGAGAUGUAGUAAUUGAAGCACAUUUAUAUAUAUUGAAUAAUCUUAGUGUAGUUGGACCUUAUAUAACUAUUCACAAAACAAUUAUAAAGAAAAAGUAUCCUCGAAUGAAUGACAAGUGGUUGUUGACGUGACAUAACAAGGAAUUUAUAAGUUGGUUUAAUAAGAGGAUUUCUAAUGAUGAUGGUCCAUCCUAGACAAUUUAAUGUUUGUCAUACAUGCCAAAAUUUAUUGUGAUAACUUGAACGACAUAUGACAUUUCUAAUUUCCUUUUAUAUAAAAGCAAAAGAUGAUCAAAGUACAAGACAAAAUUGUAAGGGUAUGGUUGAGGUUGAAUCCAUGUAUUUCUCUAGUUCGCAAGAUAAGAAUCAUAUUUUAGCAACCACCGCGUUCUAUGGUGUCAUUGAGAAGAUUCUAGAGAUUGAUUAUGUUAUUUUCAACGUGCCUUUAUUUAAAUGCAAGUGGGUUCCCAAUAACAAUGGUGUACAAAUUGACGAGUUAGGAUUCACACGAAUUGACCUUGGCAAGACAACUUAUAACAACAGACUAUUUAUCAUGGCUAUUCAAGCAAAACAAGUUUUUUAUGUGACAGACUCUGCAGACUUAUCAAAGAGAUGGUCAAUUAUUCUCAAAGGAAAACAUAUUUCUCAUAGUGAUGGUGCAAGUUUUGAUAUUUCUUCCACUCCUUCUUAUGCAACACAAAUGCCUACUUUAUAUGAAGAAGUUGAUAGAGAUGAUCUACAUGUUAUUUGUAACGAUCAUCAAGAAGGCAUAUGGGAAAAUUAACAAGUAUUUUAUAUUCUUCAUUCAUAAUUUAUUGUAUGUUAUAAUUUCUAAUGAUAUUAUUUUCUAACAACUAUAUUAUUUGAAUAUAGGUAUUUAAAGUCAAGACACAAAGACAACAAGGUAAUAUUAUUUGAUAUAAUGAUGUGUACAUGGUAGGUUAUUUUGUGUCAUUUUGGCUUUGAUGUAAUAUACAAUUUUUGGUUCCUAAUGGAAUUGUGUCAUUGGUGUAAUACAAAAUUUGGUCUAAUUCAAUUCACAAUUGGGUGUAUUCUUGUUUCUGGUCUGAUACGAUUCAAAAUAUUAAGGUUAAAAAUUUGAGAAUACUGUAAAAUUGAAAAAUAUAUACUAAAUAAAUAAAUAAUAUCACAAUGGUUUUUAAUUCAACCGUUGUUAUAAGUAGAGCACUAUGCAUAAUAAUAUAAUGCAAAAAUGACGUUGUUGGGAUUUGAACCCAAAACCUAUAAAUUAUUUCACAACGGUUGUCUUCUUUAUCCAUUAUUGUAAGUAGCAUGCUACCUAACUUAUAACCACAAUCACUCGCUCGUUGUGAAAACCAACAUACAUACAAUCACACACUACCUAACAAUAGACGUGAAAUUGUCAUUGUAUGUGUUUCACAACUGUCAUUAUAUGUGUUUUCUAUAAUAAUGCUUUUUUGAUUUAUUGCAUAAGUUACAUGUAGCAUCCAUAUUAUAAAUUUUGAAAAAAAUCGCACUGCAUGUCUUCGGAUUUUAUAAACCAAACAAACAUAUUGACAUGUAUUUAGAUUUCAUAAUAUGAAUAUUAUUAGAAUGUGUGUUGAUUGGUGUAAAUUUUGUUGAUUAGUAGUUUAUGUAUACUCUCUUCAAUCUCAUAACCAACAAAAUAAAAUUCAAUGUUGUUAAAUAUAAGUAAAAUCUUCUCUCAUUAUUACAUUCAAUUUUACUAUUCCAAAUAUUACUACUCUUUAUUUUUAUUUUUAUAGCCUCGUGUUUUUCAAGUUUCCAAAAUAAAAAGUAAUGGUAAAAAUAGAAAUAGUGUAUGGCUUAAAUGUAUUUAGAUGACUUCUUUAAAGAUUUUGUAAAUUUGCUUAUAUAUAAGAUUAGAUGUAGUAUUUGUCAAUUUUCAAUAAUGGAUAAGAAUAGUAUGCUGAACUCGUGCAAGGAAUAAAACAGACUUAACCACUGUCUCUACCCGACUUGAGCAUCAAUGUAAAAUUUGAGCAAAUAUAAUUGGAUUUGCAAACUACAACCUCAUCCUCGUGAGAUUGAGGUGGAGGUUGAAGUUUUGGAGGAGAGUGAAAGUUCUAAUUAUUCUUUUUUUUUUAAUUUCAAGAUGGGAAACUGAAAUAUAUAAGUAACGACAAAAAAUUCAUAAAAUUAACUACUCCAAAUAAACAAUUUUUCAUAAAUGUCAUUCGAGACAAUAAUCUAUAUGACCUUGACACCAUAGGUUUUAGCGUAGAUGAUCAUUGCUUGGUGAAAAUUUUGGAUCUAUAUGCUUGCAGGCAUAAAGUUAAUAGUUCUAUCGACAAACCUCAAAAGUAUUUUGAUGACGACAACACUAAUAAUUCCUAAAAUCGGUGGUAACAUCUUUCCAACUCCUUUAUGAUGGUGAUUAACUUGAAGAUACCUCAAGCCUCAUCAGGACGGAGACUCAAGGUUCCAUUAAAGUUUUUAUAUGAUCAAUGUAUCUGGCGAAGGAAUUUAAAAUCUUUAGAAUUAUGAAAGAAAGAAAGUGUGAAAGCUAGCCUAAUCGUAUCUGUUUGAGUAACCAGAGUCUUCUGAAAGUAAGAGAGUAUCUCCUAAGAUACUUAGGAAACACACAGAUAUGCACACACACACACAUGCACAUACACAUACACUUUCUCUCUCUCUCACACUCUUUUUUUUUAUCUCUCUCUCUCUCUCUCACACUCUCUCUCUCUCUCUCUCUCUCUCUCUCUCUGAGAAAGAGAGAGAGAGAGAGUCUCUCUCUCUCUCUCACACACACACACACACACACUCAUUUUAACUAUCAAAAUACCUAAAAAUGUUUUCAAGCCUUAGCCAAUUGAUUAGGAAAUUGUCAACUUCAUUAAAAGCAACUUUUGAACUAUCUAAUCGAUUAUAUCCUAAAGCUAAUCGGUUAGAAGAAGCGAAAUCAAUUAUAUAAUUAAUUAUGGUAGCGUAUUAAUGAUUAGUAACGACUCUAUAUCUAAACAUUCCAAAAUGGGCUAAAAUAAUCUAUUAUUUUUUUGUAUCUAAUCGAUUGGGCUUAUGGCCUAAUUAAUUAGAUUAGUUAAUUGGCUCAUGGAUUAUUUCCUUUUUAGCCAAUUAUUCUCUCUCCUCUUUAUUUCACACAAGAAUUCCAAAUUUCUCUAGUUCUUUGGAAUUUAUCUCUCUUUGUUGUCUCUCUAAAUAUUUUCUUUCACCAAAGUUACCUUAGUGCAUUGUGAGUGAAAACUAUCUGUGAGGAAUAAUUUAUACUAGUGUCGUUCCAUUGUUAUUACUCUCAAGAGUGAGAUAUUCUUGAGAAAUCGAGUUUAGUUAUUGAGAUUAACCAUUCUAAAAAUCUUUGUUUGGUUCUAGGACUUAGCCUGGAAAAUUUUAGUUUGGUUAUUGAGAUUAGCAUGGAAAAAUCUAAUUAGCUCGUUAGUUCAACUUGUGAAAAGACUUUCUUUUUGUUAGGGAUAAGUCACUGUAAAGUCUCUAGAUCUGUUUGUAUCAAAGGUUUGUGGAUAUAACCUGUAAAAGUUCAAGUUUAUGGUCAAAAUCUUAAGAAGAUCUCAUGGGGAUAAAAGUCGGUUAACUUUCGACCAAACCUGGAUAAAUCAUUGGUGUAAUCUCUCUAACCCUUAUCUUUUAUUUUUGUCCUUUAUUAUAUUAACUUUAAUUUUUGUUGCUUUUCACUAUAAUCUUAAUAUUAACGUAAUUUGACUUUUAAGUAACAAAAACUUAAGUUUAAUUACGAAUUUUUAAUACCACAAUUCACCUCACUCUUGUGCUUGAAGUCACUUGUUCAACAAGUGACAUCAGAUCCUAACUCAUAUUAAAGACUAAUCAUCCCAUGAGGAAAAACAACUUCAAUCUAUUCACUAAAUAAACCACCAUCCUUUAAUGGAUAAGGGUAUAUUUAUUGAAAAUGUAAAAUGGAGUUUUCCAUAUAAGAGAUGGAUUGUGGUAUUUAAAAAGUUGUGAAGGAAAGUUUAUGUUCAUACACAUCAUACUGAUGGUGUUGUAGUGAACAAAACUGGAAAUAAUUGGACCAAAGAUGAUAAAGAAAAUGUGUAGUGCAGUUUGAAAGCAAAAAUGGUCAUCACCGCCACUCUUGGUCUUGAUAAAAGCAAUGUGGGACAUCCUCCAAAUUACCCAUGAAGUAACUAUUUGUGUAAAGAGGGCAAGGUUGGGAUCAUUAACCUAUUAGUAUAAAAUUUUCAAGAUGAAACCUAAAGAGAACAUAAAUUAGAUGCAAACACGAUUUACACAUAUCAUGAGCCACAUGAGAACUCUAGGAAAAACAUUUUCAAAUGAAGAACUAGUUGUGAAAACUCUUAGAUGUUUAAACUGUAACUAGAAACCUACAUUGACUAUGAUUUGAGUAUCUAGGGAUCUAGAAAUUAUAGAUACACACACAUACAUACUCUGUUUGAGAAAUUACAAGAACACGAAAUAUAAUUAAACAGGCUUGCCAUAGAUGAGGAAGGAGAAAAGAAAAGCAAAAGUCUAACACUCAAAUUCGAAUAGUCCAACUCAGAUGGUGACAUGUAUCUUAUAGUAAAGAACUUAAAAAUAUUUCUAAAUCAUGAGAAACAACAAAAAUAGGAAGAUGAGGAAAAAAUUUCAUUUAUCCCCACUUGCUACAAGUGUGGAAAGAAAGGGCACAUUAGGCCAAAUUAUCCCUUAGCUAAAAGACAAAUAAAAAGAAAUCUAAGAAACUUUAGAAAAAGGCCAAGAAAGCUUACAUAGUAUGAGAACAUAACAAUAUGAAAUCCUUAGACAAUGAAGAGGAAAACUAACAUCUAUCUCAUGGAAAAUCAUCAAGAUGAUGAGGUAACUUCUUAUUUUUCCUAUCACGAUCUUUUUUGCAUUUGUAAGAAACUAACAAAAGAACCAAGAAAACUGAAACAAAUUGUGUGUAUCGAAGGAUAUUAUUUCUUCUCUUGAACUUAAAAAUAAAAAACCUUGAGAAAGAAAAUAAAUCCUUAGAGAAAUAUAAAAUGAUACAGUUCAAAACUUUUCCACUUUAAACGAAGAGGAUGAAUCUGAUAAGUGCAACAAAGGUGAUACUUUGAAAAAUGAAAUUUGCGAUUUUCAAAAGUCAUUUGUUAAGUUCACCAAAGGAAGAGAUAACUUGAAUCUUCAGUUGGGAAAUCAAAAAGUUUCUUACAAUAAAGUUGGUCUCGGUUAUGAACCCAAAAAUGAUAGUAGAACUUUAGUAACAUUUGUAUUGCUAAAUCCACCUCUCAUUGCAAAACCUUAAAAUACAACUAUUGUAACAAAGGUCAUAUGGCAUGUUCUGUUUUAUUAAUAAAUUUACGAGAGAAAAGAAGGACAUCCUCCUUCAUACUUUUAUAAAAAAAACAUUGUGAGCGCAAAAUAAAGAUUUCACUUGCUCUAUUAAAUGUUUAUGUCUCUAGUAUAAAGACAAAUGAAAAGAAUAUUUAUACAACUAACAAUAAAGGACCCAAGAUGACAUGGGUACCUAAAUUUAAGACCUAGGCUUUUAUUGCAGGAGUGCUUUACAGUCUUGAUUUUUAAGUAACAAAAACUUGAAUUAAAUUGCGAACUUUGAAUAGUACAAUUCACCCCCCUCUUAUGCUUGAAGUUACUUUUUCAACAACAACCUUUUUUAGAGAGGUGGCACGAGGAGACAUCAACUUGUAUAUCCCGAUUAAGGAGAUGAAAGUGAAACUAGAUGAAAUCUCAUGUUUUCUGCAUCUGCUACUCAAGAGUCGUAUUCUUGACUACACCAUAGUUACAAAGCAUAAAUAUUAUCUAAUGGUUGAUCUUCUCGAAGUAGAACCACAUAACAUUGAACAAUAAUUUUAUGAGGGCCCUGGAGGUAAUGCAUGGUUCAAAUUCCUGAAGGGUUAUUUAUGAAACACCUUGAAACUACAGGGGCUAGUGACUAGGCCGAUGAAGGUGUUAAGAAAUAGUUGUACAAGCAGUACAAGACUAGGAUAUAUCUCCCUUACUUGAUGGACUCAACCAUUUUCACAAAAAAAGGCCAGUUAUAGUCACAUGAUGUAUUUAGAGCAUUUCAUGGAUCUAUACAUGAUCACUGGCUAUACUAGAGGCACUGUUACAUUGCCUUACUUGUAUAGGGAGAGCUGGAUGUUGUGACCAAGUUUAAGAUGAUACAAUUAGUAAUAUAUAUGACAUUAUUUCAAGUAAAAUAUUCAUGUAGUUAUUUAAUUAGUUGUUAAAAGUAUUUUCUUCAAUAUUAUUUACUAAUUAGUAUACAUUGUUGCAUGCAUGAAUCUAUCAAUAUUUCCCCAAUAUUGACAAACAAAGAGUAUGACAAGACGGUGCCUCAUGCUAACCUUUUCAUUUCGCUUAAAAGAUAUCCAACUAGAAAAUUGUAUUGAGAACCUAUAUUUUGACUAUUAUCACAAGAUGUGUUCCUUGACUUUUACGAUACUCAACGUGCCAUAUACCUUUUCAAUGACAUUAGAUUCUAUUUUGGUUAGGUCAAAUGUUUACUAUGUAUGGUUAGGUACUUUCCAGAGGUAAUUUUGCCCUAGUUCAAUAAGAUGCAAACUAUUAUAAGACAUCAAUUUAUCUAUGUUAUACACACGACCACUCGAGAGUACGUUGAUCAUAGGUAUCUUGAGCGGCUAGACCACAUCUUCCUAAAUAUUUAGGAUAUUGCGACAUGAAACAUAAGAUAAUAUAUUAAGAUAUCACUUCCUUACCUGAUCCCCAUACCUGAGGGAAAAUCUUUGGUACUAAUUGAGAAUGAAUCACUUGAAGAGGAGGCAAAAAAAGAGGAUCACAAUAGUCGGGUCCCUAUUUGCACAUAAACUUGAGACAUGACUUUUGAAUUAUUAUCUCAUGGGACUAUUAAGUUGGGUACUAAAGUUUACGAUGUUGUCUAGAGCAUUCAAAUGAAGGUUAAAAAUUCCUUGUGACACAAGAGAUUUAGGAGGAAUGAAAAUAAUUCUUGUGUGAAAGGUUUCAAAGCAAGGAUUCUCACAAGGAUGGCUAAUAUAAAUGUAAGUUACAUAUUUAUCACUAUCAUAUCCACACAUUUAUUUGCUUACUUAGACACGAAGUAAUACAAGAAACUUUUAAUUUAUGCUUAAUUAAGAAUUUUCUUAUGUUACUUCGUUCUAAGUAAGCAAAUAUCACAGAGGUAUUAUAUACGAAAGAAAUUUUUAAUUAAACAUAAAUUAAAAAUUUCUUGUGUUACUUCGUGUCUAGUAACUUACUUACUAGACUAUUGGUGGUUUCACUAGUGACUUGCUUCUAGUGUUUAAAAAGUAAUAAAAACUAAUUUCCACAUCAUCAUAAAAGUAUUUUGAAAAAAAGUCACUUUUGAAUACUCUCAAUUUUUAAAAGAAACUAUUCCAAAUAUUCAAAUUGGGAACACCUUUUUUUUAUAAGCAAAAUUAUACCCCUGAAUUAAAUUUGAAGUUUCUCAAUCAUCCUCUAAAAUAUGGAGGUAUACUUUAGAAGAAAACAGCAAAAACUUAAAAGGAGGUGUGGAAAUGAAUUUUAUGCAUACCGAAAGCAAGUCCCUUUUUUUUAACAGGGGCAUGAGGCCCAACAAAUACGAGUUAUUGUCAUUCAAAAAAAAUAAUGUAGAAGUGGAAAUAGUUGCAAGGAAAAGUGCUCGGGUCCCCGCCGCAGCAGGUUAACGAACGGUGGCAACUGCAACUGCAACUACAAAUCUGAUAUAAACCCUACCAUCACCAUGUCCAACGACUCUUUGUUCGCCGGCAUUCGUUUUGACAGAAAGAAAUUCGGCGCAGAUAUUGCCAGGUUUCAGGUACCAUUUCAAUCUCUCUUUAACUAAACGCCGCUGAAAGUGAAUUCAAGAAAUUCCAACCAAUUUUUUUGACCUAAAUAUUCAUCACUGCUCAAUUUUCAACCAUUAAAAUUCGGAGCAGUUUUCUCUUAUGUACCUUUGUCAAUCAUAGUAGCGUGAUAUUUUGUAUGCAUAUAGAACUUAACAACGGCUACUAGCUAAUUUGAUAAACUGUACAUCCUCAGAAAGCGUCCUUAUGGGAUACAUGGAUUUCUGAUAAGACUAUUUUUAGCAAUUUUGGAAGUCUUUAAAAGAGGACUUUGAUUAUAUAAUCAAGUUCGCCAUUCAUGAAAAUGAUGAUACUGCACGCUGUAUUCUUAAUAUGAUGUCCAUUAGAGCAGAUACUAGAGCUAAGCACAAAGAAAUCAAAUGAAGCUUGUAAUGGAAAGAAUCUUCCCUGCAUGGUUUGAAAGUUACAAGUUCACAAAGAGACGGACUUCUUUUUUGGAGGAUUUCAGAUGUUUUUUUAUGUUUUUUUUAUUUUAAUCUUUUAGUUUUUUAAAAGUAAGUCGUGCACGAGAGAGAUGGUUUCAAACAUGUUUAUGCAGCAAGGCUUGAUAAAAUGUAGUCAUUCUCUUGCUAUUGAGAAAAACCCAAGUCCCAUAUGAUAAAGAGAGUCUGAAACGCGGUUAUAAAGAGGGACAACCCCUACAUUACUAGUCGGUUUUGUUAGGAUGAGUUAAAUCCAAUAUAAAAACUUACUAUGAUAUUAGAGCCUAUCGAUUUGGGCCACCUGCCAUUUAAUCCAUACAUCAAGCUCAAUAGUUAUGGGUGUGACUUGUGAGGGAGUGUAUUGGUAAAAACCCUAGUCCCACAUAAAAAUAAAGAAAAUGUUUGAAAUGAGUUUGUAAAGAGUGACAUCUCUCACCUUAAAAAUCAGUUUGUAAGGAUGGGUUACACCCAACAUAAAAAACCUAAUGCUUACUUAUUUCAUUUCUUAAUCUAUGCGAAACACUGAUAAUAGUUAUUUCUUUAAAAAAAGAAAAAAAAUGCCGAUACUAGUUUGGCGAAGAUUCAGAGUGUGACAGAAGAUGAAGAAAUCAAGGAAACAAUAGAAGCUGUGUCUGCAAAGAAAAGGAAGCGCAAGAAAACCUCUUCUGGUAUUCUCAUUCUCAUGUUUUAACACUCUAUGUCACAUAUCACUUGUAUUAAUUGUUCUUUAUCUCACUUUUGCUUUGUUUCUAUGACAAAUAAAAGAAGCUGUUGAUGGAUUCAGUGUGUUCCGAAGUUCAACAUCGAAGUCAAGCGAAAAAGUCCAAGCCGAUGAUGAUGAGUCCAUUCGGCUGAAGAAAGAAAAAAAUAAGCAACUCGAGGUUCAGGCCCUUUAUGUUUUGUGCAAUAUAUAGAACUCUCCGUGUUCUUAAGUUUGUGCAAUAAUUUUCUGACCAUUCACUUUCAUUUUUCAUCUUUAUUUAGCGCGAUGCUAUCUUUAGGAAGAGUCAUAACAUUCAUGUGUCCGGUUACAAUGUGCCGUCCCCACUUCAAAGCUUUGAUGAGUUGAAAACAAGGUAAUUUUCUGUUAAUAUUAUUAUUCUGGAAUCUGGUUGUUACAUAUUCUGCUUAUUAUUAUUAUUAUUAUAUAUUUACAUGAACAUGGCAUUGCUGGUUCAGAAUCUUAAAAUGAACUGUUUAUUAUAGUUAUAAAUGUCCGUCCUAUUUAUUGCGGAAUCUGGCAGAACUUGGAUUCAGAGAACCAACACCAAUCCAACAGCAGGCUAUUCCAGUACUCUUACAGGUACGGAUCACAUUGGACAUUAUGUUAUUCGAAAAUCAUUGAUGUAGUUUGAUCUUGGUUUUGAUUCGUGCAAGCUUGAUAUUGUUUGCAAGAGAGAUAGUAUCACAAUAUUGUUUUUACUGAUAUUUUCCUUCACUAAUAUGAGAUAGGAUCGUGAAUGCUUUGCCUGUGCCCCAACCGGCUCUGGAAAAACCCUUGCAUUUGUGUGUCCCAUGCUCAUGAAGCUCAAGGUAUUGCUUAUAUUUUGUUGUCUUUUGCUUCCAACAUCCUGGGUCAUGGGUUCCAAUAAUCAAAUGUGUUUAUAGGCUCAUUCAAAAGGUGGCGUUCGAGCUGUUAUCAUCUGUCAUAGCCGUGAAUUAUCUGGUCAAACAUACCGAGAAUGCAAAAAGUUUGCCAAAGGGGAAAAGUUUCGUAUCAAGUUAAUGACAAAACAUCUUUUAGAAGGUUCUGAUUUUUCAAAUUUUCCUUGUGACAUACUUAUAUCCACGCCCUUUCGAUUACGCUUGGCUACCCAGAGGAAAAAGCUUGAUCUCAGCAGGUGUGUAAUAAUAAAAAAAUCUGGCUUAUUGAUUUAAUCUUAUUACUCUCUAAAAAAUAAUCAAGUAAAUCAUUACAUGUAUAUUAGUCCAUAGGGAUUACUUUAAAUUCCUGUGAUGAUGGUCUACAGCUGCUCCUCUAUGCCACUUAUGCUGUAGUUUAAAUAUCUCAUAUUGAGCUAUACUUUGCUUUGUCCUUUCUCGACCAAUUGCAUGCUAAAUCGUGAAAUUAUCUCCUGGGUUGGUACUUUCUUUUUGCUGUCAUUCUUCAUUCCUUCUGCUAAAAUACAAUAUCAUUGAGGAACAUUUUUCCUGUUAUUCUUCAUUCUAUUUGCGUUUACGUUUCUUUUUAUCUGGCCCUGUGGAAUUAAUGAAGUAGACACGAGUAACCAGUUGAUCAUUCAGUUGACUCAAACCAUAAACCCAACAUGGAAAUCUAAGUUGUUUCAAAGUUUACCACCCCAGGAGAAAGUAAUUAAGUCUAAACACAUUCCAAAGUGUUUAUUGAGAAGCAAGCAAUUGCUAAAUCCAUAUGAAUAAUCGGUUGGAGUCCAUUAUUGCUGUCAAAUAUCUGCCAUGUUGGCGCCAUGGCGGAUUGCAGUGUUUUUUUUUUGACAAUUGUCAUGGCCAAUUUGUGAAGAACGGUGGUGCCAUGACCUUUUAUGGUGUACUUUUGGCUUUCUGCCAUGGUCUUCCAUCCAUUUGCCAUCGAUAACACUGGAGCCCAUUGAACAUGAAAACAAACACACGUUCAGCAGCAUAAUUAUUUCUAAAGAUUAUGGUUUCAUAUAAGAUGGGAGAAUCAAAUAUCUGUUGUAUAUUGGUAAAACAAAUUCAGUGUUUGUUUGCCUCUCAGUUGGCUGUGAUGUUAUUUAAUGAUAAAUUUGAUUGGGUACAACAAAUUGUGGCAUGGUCCAACCCUAGUUGGUGUCGGCUGUUGUAAUGUAAAACCUUAACUACUUAAAUGGUUCAUGCAUUUUCAAAUUUUGCUUGCUGCUUUUAGCUGUAUUCAAUGUUGUGUCUGCAAAGACAGUAGUAAUAAACACUAGACAUGCAAUGUGAUUACCAAAUAGGCGUGUUGAUGUUUUUUUUCUUUCAACUCUUUUGGUUGCUGCAGAGUUGAGUAUCUUGUCCUUGAUGAGUCUGAUAAGCUAUUUGAGCCUGGAAUGUUCAAGCAGAUUGAUGCUAUUAUCAAAGCAUGCACAAAUCCCUCAAUAGUACGCUCUCUAUUCAGUGCUACUUUACCUGAUUUUAUUGAAGAUAAAGCUCGAGAACUUAUGCAUGAUGCUGUUCGCGUAAUCGUUGGCAGGAAGUAAGUUCAAUAAAAAAUUUACAAUAGAACAUUAUGCUCAUGUGCAUUACUUUAACUCUUCACCCUAUUGUAAAAGAUAACAUCUAAUACUUUUAUGGGAAUCAGGAAUAUGGCUUCUGAAACAAUUAAGCAGAGGUUGGUUUUUACUGGAAGUGAAGAAGGAAAACUUAUAGCAAUUCGGCAGAGUUUUGCAGAGGUAUGAAACUAAAAUGAAUGCUUUAGAUAAAAGGCAUUAUUAGUCAGUUUGUUUUUCUUCUGCUUCAAUAUGUUUUGUCUCACAGGUCACAACUUAACCUUGGUCAGUGUGGGUCUUAUUGAAAAGUAAUUAGAAACCUCAUUACAAUUUAUCGUUAAUAUGUAUUUCCUGUUGUUAAUCUGCCUAGUUAAGAGAAACUAUUAAUAAAGAUUUUGGAGAUUAAUGAGUUGGAUAUAAAUAUGAUAUAUGAUAAAAUAUUAUGACAUUGUUUGAUCCAUGUAGCCGACUCCAAAUAGUGAGAUAAGGCUUUGUUGUUGAUUGUAUGUUGCAUGCAUAUAGUUUAAUAUUUACCUUGUUUCAGUUUGGUGUUAAAUAAUGUAUUGUGAGUGUAAAUAUGUAACGACUUGGAACACUUGUUAUUGUAACAUCUACCUUUGAAACUAGCGGAAAGAACAUAAUAUUGCAACACUUGUUUGCUCACUCCUAAUAUAUCAGUUGCUUGCAUUUGUUGACUUUGUUUUUUUUUGCUUUCCAUAUCUCGAAGAGUCUAAAUCCUCCAGUAUUGGUCUUUGUCCAAAGCAAGGAGCGAGCCAAGGAGCUGUAUGGUGAACUUGCAUUCGACAAUAUUAGAGUUGAUGUCAUCCAUUCUGAUUUGUCUCAAGAAGAGGUAGUUCUCAAUCCCUUUGAACAAAAUAAGCUUCUUGUUGGAAAGUAUGAAGGCACUCUGAAACGUUUUUCCCUUCAGCCAAAAAAUGCAAAAAGAAAAAAGAAAACCCAUGAAUUAUAUGACCAAGAUCUCUGGCCCAUACUAUUUAUAUGGUGAAGAUGUCAAAUUAUAGUAUUCCUUGUUUGUGCAAUUGCUUUUGUACUUGACUAAUCUGCUCAUCAUUACUGAACAAGACAAACCUGUUUUUAAUAUACAAUUCUGUUUAACUUUUAAUCUCUGAUCAUCAGCAAUGGGUACUCCAUUAUGAAAGCGCAUAUUUGUUAAGUUAGCUGUAGCCUGUAACUAUGAUGUGAUUUUUUUAAUCUCUUGAAUUCUAUACAGCGAGAAAACGCAGUUGACAACUUCAGAGCUUGUAAAACAUGGGUUUUGAUUGCCACUGAUGUGGUUGCUCGAGGAAUGGAUUUCAAAGGCAUUAACUGCGUGAUCAAUUAUGAUUUCCCAGAUUCUGCAUCGGCAUAUAUCCACAGAAUUGGUUAGUGUCACGACAUGAACAUUUUUUUUUUAAUAUUUAAGAAGUGUUUAGAGGGGCUGUGAUUUGUAAUAUUCACUCACUGAGCCUUUUCUUUAUUAUAUAUUCUUUGAUACAUCAAUUUUUAAUAAUGAUUUGAAUCUACUUUUUGCUAAAUAUAAAUGUUGAUAUUUCAAUAGGUCGAUCUGGUAGAGCAGGGAGGAGUGGCGAAGCAAUUACAUUUUACACAGAAGAGGAUAUUCCAUUCUUGAAGAACGUAGCUAAUCUAAUGGCAUCCUCAGGCUGUGAAGUUCCAUCCUGGUUGACGGAGUUGCAGAAAAAGAAGUGGAGGAAGCACCGACCCAAAAGAGAUUCUAUCUCAACUAAACCUGACAAAGUUGCAAAAAAACAAGUGACAGAAAAAGCAGUGGAGGAAGCACCGGCCGAAAAAGAUUCUAUCUAGACUAAACCAGAUCUUUAAGUCUAUUACAACAACAAAUUGGAACAAGUUUUUGACCUGUGAAAUUUCUUGAAGUGUUUAUUUCUUGAAAGACCAUGCAACAGUGUUAAUUUAUAAUCCUCCCUCUCCAAAAAUGAUGAAAAGGGGGUGACUGGAUGGUGUGCGGGGAAUGUUGUCUAAUGCUUAUAUAAGUUCCAACCAUGAUAUAAUCAUAUACAUUACCUUAGUGCCAGUUGCAACACCCAUAAAUGGGAAUUUUUGGGCCUUCCUUUGUACUGAACAAGCAAUUUUGUUGAUCCUAAAAUGUCUGAUUUGAUAUACGUUGAAACAACAUUUCAUUCAAUAGAUUUUUAUUGUGUGAUGGCUUUCUACACAGUAUGUUAGUAAUUCUUCCAAUGCCAAGGCAUGCACAUAAUACAUGCAAUUCUGUAGUAUAUGUCAAUUAUUUAAACAUUUUAUGUGGGCUAAGUCUCUUAACAUAAUUUAAGGAUUUAAUUUGUUCCAUUAUUUAAUAAGAGUAAAAAGUUUUACAUUGUCGAUUCAUCACCAUCAUCCGUUUGUAUUAUUUUGUAGGUUUUUAAGAUAAAAGUCAAAUUUGGUUCAAUAUCCAACGUCUAUAAUUAAUUGAUGGUGUAAAAUUCUUUUAUACUGUCAGUGUAUUUCAAUUAAAUUCAUUUAAUAAAUGUUAUUUUUUAAUCAUUUAAAAACUAUUUCAUGACUUAUGUGAAUGACAUUAUCUCAACAUGAAAGAAGUGGAGGAAAAAAUAGUGUUCGUAAAUGUUUUUUUUUUGUAGAUUAGCGAAAACCUUUGUAUCUUUUUAGAAUAACUUCAAAAUCAUAUCCUUUUAGAUUAAUCAAUAGUGAAUCGAGAUUUUGAUUUUGAUAUGACUUGGAGUCCUUGUUGGUUUUUUAUUUCUUUAUUCGGUGAUCUAUGAUCUAUUGAUGGUGGGUGUAUUAACUUAAGAUCUAACUUGCUACUUUUUAGUUUGGAGCUCGAAUAAACAGUUUUUCCUUUGGUUCUGUCAUGUCUUAAUGUUUCAUUAGUUUUUCUUCACCUGUUUGUAUUAUAUAUUAAUAUAUAUAUAUAAUAUAUAUAUAUAUAUAUAUAUAUAUAUAUAUAUAUAUAUAUAUAUAUAUAUAUAUAUAUAUAUAUAUAUAUAUAUAUAUAUAUAUAUAUAUAUAUAUUAUAUAUAUAUAUAUAUAUAUAUAUCAAUAUUAUUUUAUUCGGCUUAUGGUACAGCUUGUGCUAUUUGAUUUUCUUUUAUAUUUUGUGUUGAGUAUGACUUAUCAUGUAGAAACUCUAAACAGGUCUUUGGACCACCUGUUUGUUGGGGUAACUUAGGAUUAAAGUUUAGGUUUAGGGGUAUUUCACUUGUAACACUGUAACCCUUAAUUCAUAAGACAAAAGUCAAUGAUAGAAUGUGAUGAAAGUAUUGAUCGAAAUUGCGUUAAAAAAGAUCAAUCAUGUUCAUUGUCUUUUACAUUCGUUUCUCUUUAAUCCUCUAUGUUGGUUGUUGUUCUAAUAGUUGGUAACUCUAGUGUGAAAUUCGAGGUAACAAGGUUUGACGAGACAAAUAAUUUUGGAUUAUGGCAAAUGAGGGUUAAGGAUCAAUUGACUCAUCAAAGUUUAUAGAAAGUGUUGCAUGAGACAAAAUCGAACGACAUGGAGGAUACCGACUGGAUAGAGAUGAAAAACAAGGUUGCGAGAUUGAUUCACAUAUGUGUUUCAGAUGAGGUGAUGUAACAUAUCCUGGAGCUGACGACGCUGGAGGAGGUUUAAGACAAACUGGAAAGUUAGUAUAUGAAAAAGACGUUGACGAACAAAUUACUCCCUAAACAUCGACUAUACAGUCCGAAGAUGCAAGAAGAACCUGAUUUGCAACAACAUGGCAAUGCCUUCAAUAACAUAAUCACCGAUUUGGUGAGGCUUUGGAUGAAAAUUAAUGAAGAUGAUAAGGCAAUUAUCUUUCUCUGCUCGUUACUAGGUUCUUAUAACCACUUGGUGACCUAUGGAAAAGAAAAUAUAAGUCUUGGUGUGAUUACUGCUAUUUUUUUUGUCUCAUUCUCAAAAGAGACAAAGUGUAGAUGAAUGAACUUAAGGCGGAGAUUUGUAUGUGAAAGGGAGUCAAAAUCGUGUGCAGAAUAAGAGUAAUGGAGGUUCUGGAAAAAAGAUGUAUAAAUCUCGGAAUCGGAAAACAACUUAGUGUUAUAGUUGUAAACAUAUUGGGCAUUGGAAGAGAGAUUGUCCAAACAGAAAGCAAGCCUCAUCUAGUUUUGCAAAUGUAGUCCAAAUAGAUGACUUUGGUAGUGAAGCAAAUAUACAGUGUAUUUCAUCCAACCAAUGCACAUAUGUGUGGAUUCUUGACUCUGGUUGUUGUUACUACAUGACACUGCAUCGAGAAUGGUUCACUACAUCCCGGUCAGGUAGUUUUUUUUUUUUAUCAAGUGAUGAUAAAGCAUGUAUUAUCACCAGAAUGGGACAAAUUAAAAUUUCCAUGGACAAUGGUGGCGUUCAACAUUGUACGAACUCAAAUGUAUCUUAGAAUUAAGGAGGAAAUUGAUUUCCCUAGGUACUCCACAGACAAAUGGUUUUUCUUACAAGUAUGAUGAAGAUAGCCACAUUAUGAAAGUUAGCAAGGGUGAAUUGAAUGUGAUGAGAGCAAAGAGGACUGCAAGUAACAUCUACAAACUAUUGGGGAAGAGGUUUGUAGGUGAUGUUGCAUUAGUUGAGUCUAAUAAUGAUGCAACCAAACUCUGGCAUAUGCGUCUGGUUCAUCUCCAUGAGUGUGGGAUGAUGGAACUUCAUAAGAGGAAUCUAUUGAAGGGUGUUUGUAGUUGUAAGAUGGAAUUGUGCAAGUAUUGUAUACUUGAGAAAUAUUGUAGUUUUUGGUUCAAGACUAUAAACAAUGAAUUUUAGACUAUGUGCAUUAAAAUGUGUGGGGUCCUACCAAAGAGGUUUCCAUGGAUGGUUCCAGGUAUUUUGUGAGUUUCACAAAUGCUUUUUCUCGCAAGGUUUGGGUGUAUUUCUUGAAAUAUAAAGAUGAAGUCUUUACCAAAUUCAAGUUGUGGAAGACAGAGGUAGAAAAUAAAAUAGGAAGAAAAAUCAAGUAUUUAUGAUCAGAUAAUCAAACAUAUUACGCUGACUUGAAAUUCAAGAGGUUAUGUGAAGAACAUUAUAUUCAAAGAUAUUUAUCAGUUUGCAAGUCACCACAACAAAACUGUAUUUAAAGAUAUGGGUUUGAAUGGUCGGGGGGAGGGGGGGGGGGGGGGGGGGGGGUGGGGGGGGGGGGGGGCUUUGUUCCCAAAAAGACCGUUACAAAAAAUUCUUUUAUAAAAUUAGAGUUUUAAAAAAUGCUUGGCAUAGAGAAAGUUUUCGUAUAAAAGAUGUGAUUGGAUUGAUGAUAUAAUACAUACUUAUUACCAACAAAAAAUAAAGAAGCAAAAGAAUAGUAGAAGAGAAUACUAAAAUGUACUCGAUGUUUUGAUUGAACUAAGUUCAUUUUACACGAGAUUUGUAAACCAAAUUUUCUCAAAUGAAUAAGGAUUAUAUAAUCACAGUUUUCACUUUAUUCAAAAGUAAGAAUGUUUAGGAACUUGAUCUAACACAUGCCUAAUUUUUAUACACAAAAUCUCUAUGCACGCGGUAAAAUCUAUCAGCAUGCGAUUUCUAAGAGAAACAAUUAACCUAAACAUACAAUACUAAACGAAAUAUAAAAGUGCGAGAGAGGUAAAGAUAGUACGCCAUAUUUAGAGUGUUUCAGCGUUUCGUCAUCGUUUGAGCUUAAUCCACUCUCCAAUGCUUCCCAUUGAAAGUUUGUUGUUGCUCCACUAUGACUUUGACAAUUUUCACACAGAGUAUUUUAAUACAAUAAUGAUUCAAAUCAUGCUGAAAAUACACGAUCUUUAGUCUAAAUCUCUCUUUGACUAUAAACAACGUCUAAAAUCGGUUCCUACAAUUUUUACUUGAUCUCGACUUCUUCCUUCCAAACUCAAGAAUUCUCCUCCAAACGUCCGUUUUGCAUCGACCUUUACUCAGUCCUACCAGUUCCUUGACUUGUCUGAAGGUGAUAGAAACUCCAACUCCGUCUGUAGUAGCUUCCACACAGCUUUAUCGAAGCAAUCUUGAAGAAAAUAAACUCGUUCUUUUUCACAGUUGGAUUGCCGAUCUCAGACAGUCAGAAUUGAGUUUUUACCUUGACUUGUUUUUCCUAGGUAAAAUUGAAACGUAAAAUCGUAGAGUUUAUCUCAUUAAAAUAAUAUUAAAUUCACACACACACACACACACAUACACACACGCGUGCGCGUGCAUGCAUGGACACGUAUACGCGCGCGUACACGCACACAUGCACAUAUGCUCACACAUGCAUGUAACAUGAGCACACACGCACACACACACACACACACACAUACACACACACACACACACACACACACACACACACACACACUUGCACACACUCGACACACACACACAUACAUACAAACACACACCCACACACAUAAGCACAUACACACACACACACAUGCAUGCUUGCACGCACGCACGCGGGCGCGCGCACACACACACACACACACACACACACAAACGCACGGUAAAUGCACACACACACACAAACGCACACGUAAAUGCACACGUGCACACACACGCACGUGCACACACACAAUGAGAUUUAUCAUGUCAGAACCAAGCAUAUUGAAUGAUGUGAGUAUGAGUGUUCAUGGAUGUGGGUCAACCCAUGAACCUGUUGACCCAAACCUAACCAACCCAUAAAUUAUCCGAACUUAUUCAUUUACGAGUAUACCCAAUCCAAUCCUUAACAACCCGUAUAAUUUUGGUUCGGGUAUCGGGUUUGAGUUUUGCAACCCGUUGACCCAACCCAUUGAUGUGACUUUAAUAAUUUCUUAUUAUUUAUUUAUUAUAUUAAAUAAAAAUAUAAAAUUAAUAUCAAACUAAUAACCAUAAUUUUUCCAUUUUUUUUAUUCUCCACCAAUAAUACUACUAGACGAAUGAGUUUACGUAAUUCUAAGAUUAAAUGUUGUUUCUUAUUUUCUUUUGUAUCAUUUGCAACUUAUGUAUUUUAUGGAAAUAAUGUGUCUUUUUGAACUUUAUAAUAUUAUCAAGUGUUAUGUCGUGUUGAUGAAUUUUAUUAGAUCUUAUAUGACAUGUUUUAUCUAAUUUGAGUGUUAUAAAUGAGUAUGAUUGUAUUGAGUCGCGUUACAUUUUUUUAAACCGACAAAAAGAGUCAUAAAAAUUAUAUUUUUUCUUUGAAACACAACCUGCGAACCCAACUCAACCCAACCCAUAAAUGAACGGGUCGAUUCAGGUCAGUUUUGACAAUGAAAUUGCGAGUUUAGCGAUGGACCCAAUUCAUUGAAAUUUGAAUGAGUUGGAUAAUGGUAUAUGUCAAAUCUGGUCUAACCCAACCCGUGUACACCCCUAGAUGUGACAUUUCAAAAGACCAAAAAGUAACUUACAUAUAGACAAGUAUUACUUGAAAAAGUUCAUACUUCAGAUUAUGUAACUGAUAUGUUGAACAAAUCCGUCAUUAGUGACAAAUUCAAGCAUUGUUUAAGCUUGUUACACGUUUCUCAGUGUUAAGUAGGAGGUGUAUCUCCAUAGUUUUCAAGAUGUGAUCGCCAUGCUAUAAGUCCGUAUAGGGGUUUGACAUUUACUAAGAUGAAGAUUUUGAGAAAGUCUCGUAUUAUGUAAAACCUUCAAACGAGUCAUAGAUCCAAUAGUUUGUUGUGGGUAUCUAUGGAAUAUAUAUAUAUAUAUAUAUAUAUAUAUAUAUAUAAUAUAUAUAAUAUAUACUAUAUAUAUAUAUAUUAUUAUAUAUAUAUAAUUUAUAUAUAUAUUAUAUAUAUAUAUAAUAUAUAUAUAUAUAUAUAUUAUUAUAUAUAUAAGUUUAGAAGUACAAAAGUAUUAUUGUAAACUGAAAAUAAUAUUAUAUAUAUGAUUUGUAUCAAUGUAACCCUACUUCAUAAGACACAAAUUAAAAGAAUUAUAAUUGUUCUAUAGUCACAAAAGUGUACACCAUUGAUCAUACCGUAUUAACAAAGAUUAGUCGUAUUUAUUGUCUUUUAUUUCCGUUUUCAUAUUGGUUGUUAUUCUUUGUUGGGGUCUUUUACCCUUUAUAUUUAAUAUAUUAUCUUGCCUUUAAAAAAUAGUAUACAAACUAAUUUGGGAAAGUAUCUAAAUCAUUAGCAACCACUAUCUAAAAAAAUUGUUUUCACAUAUUAAGAAAUUUAGGGAAGUUUAAUGAAUUUUCUCGACUUUUUUGUUGUUGUUGUAAGAUAUAAGUUAAAUUUAUUAAAUUAUCAUUUUUUAUAUUUAGAGAUUUAACUAUCCGUAUUAGAUGUUUUGAAUAAAAUGAAAUGUAUAUUAGAAAUAAUAUCAUUAAAUAGUGUAGGCCUUAAAACCUUUUUAAUAGUUGGGAAAGAUCAGAUAGCUAAACUUAAAUGCCUAUUAAUCAAAUCACAUAAAGGAGGAAAAACACCAAAUACUAUUACUAAAACAUAAAAUUGUAAAAGAAACAUUUUAGUGUUAACAAUAUUAUCAACCCUCGGGGUUAGUCAUCACAAAUUUCUUGUAGUGCUUCGUCAAAACUAUCUUGGGUUUCUAUAUAGUUUCUGUAUUAAAUUCUCAGAUGUGAAAUACAUAUUUUGAAGGUAACAAUUGUACCAUAAACAGCUGCAAAUGACAGAUGAAAUUAAUUUAACUGAAUAUAACUUUGGAUCAAACUUUUUGUUAUAAAAAGCUGUAGCUCCAAUAUUAUGAAGCACAAACAUUUGAAAUACGACGCUGCUGACACGUUAACACAAGUAAUAAUUUUUAAAAAAUGAAUAAAUUAAGCGUAAUCACAAAUAUAGGUGUUGGAUUCGGAUACAGACGCUGACACAUACACACAUUUUUUCCCGAGGUGUCAGUGCUAUAUAACUAUAAUCCAACUACAAAUUUUCAACUUUUUAACUACCAAAUGCUAAUCUCUAACCUCUGGCAAAGAUCAUAGCCAUCAUCUAGCACCUGCAGCCAUAACUCUUCAAGCAUUGUGUAAAUGUUGCUCCUUUGUGGAUGUGAGCUAUCUUCAGAGAAGAAUAUAUGGAUCUUAUCCUUAACUUCUAUCCAGCUUUGACCAGGUACCUUUUGUACACCCAUUUGUUUCAUUAGGUUCCUUAGUGUAGCAACAUCUUCCCAAUUACCAGCAGAAGCAUGUAUGUUAGAAAGCAUCACCAUUGCCGCAGAGUUGGAAGGAUCGAGUUUUAGUAUAUUUUCUGCAGCUCUCUCUGCAAUGUCAACUUUAUUAUUAUGAGUUUUACAAGCAGCAAGUAGAGUUUUCCAAGUAGUAAUGUCAGGGUCAAAUUCUGAUUUCUGAAUAAAAGUCUCUGCUUCAUGGAAGCAUCCGGCACGAGCAAGCAAAUCAACCAUGCAAGAGAAGUGUUCUCUUGUCGGUGGAAUUCUGUAUUCUGUUUCCAUGGAUUUAUAUAAACGCCAGCCUUCCUCCACUAAUCCAAUGUGACUGCACGCGCUGAGAGCCCCGAGAUAUGUGACCUCGUUAGGCCGAACGCCAAGAUUUGUCAUAACUUUAAAGAGAUUAAGAGCUUCAUGUCCAAGUCCAAACUGAGCAUAACCAACAAUUAAACUACUCCAUGAGACAAUAUUUGGGCUCUGCGUUGAAUCAAAAACGUCGCGAGCAUGUUUAAGUGAUCCACAUUUUGCAUACAUGUCAAUCAAUCCAUUGCACACAGAAACAUCAAGCACUAGCCCACUUUUAAUACUAUAGCAAUGCACUUGAUUUCCGACACCUAAAGAUGUCAGCUCAGCACAGGUUCCUAAUAGAGUAGUUAUGGUGAUACUGUCAGGCUUAUUUUCAGAAUAAAGCAUUUGUUUAAAUAAUCUGAAAGUCUCUCCUUCUUGCUUGUGCUGCAAGCAUGCUGAAAGAAUUGCAUUCCAAGAAACUAAGUUGGCAUUUCCGCUUACAUCUCUGAAAACAUUUAAUGCAUCAUAUAGAUUUGAGCACUUUGUGUACAUGGUUAACAAGGAGUUGCAUACCGAUACUUCCUUAUCGAGACCGAUUUUGACAAUGUAAGAAUGAAUGUGCAUACCCUGGUUAGAUGCUGUGGGGCUCCCACAAGCGCAAAGUAAGGAAAUAAAAGUAACGUUAUCUGGGAUCAGUCCUGUUUGCAUCAUCCGAUGGAAAAAAUCUAUGGCUUCAUUAGCAUCACCAUUGUCAGCAAAUGCUGCAAUAAUUGCAUUCCAUGACACUAUAUCAGGGCUUUUAAUCUGAUAGAAUGCCGUCUUUGCCGAAGGUAAAAAUCCGAAUUUUGCAUACAUGUCACAAAGGGAGCAUCCAGCGAAAACGUUCCUCCCUAAACCGAAUUUAGCGCACAUUCCAUGUACUUGCUUUCCAUACUCUAGUUCAAGAAGGUUGCUGCAAGCACUGAAAACACUGCCAAAUAUGAACUCAUUUGGCUGAUAAACUCCCUGCCUGAGCAUAUCUCGGAAAAUAUAUAAAGCUUCUAUCCUAUAACCUUGUUGAGUAUAUCCCGUAAUCAUGGAACCCCAAGAAAUUAAAUCCUUUGUAGAAAUCGUUGUAAAUACAUUUGACGCAUGUGUGAUUUGUCCGAAAUUUGUGUACAUUGAAAUAAGAGCAUUUAGGGAGAUCAAGUGAUGACCAAACCAUGAUUUAAUGACAUGAGCAUGCAGUUGCCUACCUAAACCUAUAUCCCCGGCAAUGUAGCAAGCCUUAAUUAUGCUUCCAAAGGUUAACUGGUCCGGAAAUUGACCCGAUUGCAUCAUUUGAAUAUACAUGAUGAUGGCAUCGUUCUCUUGACUGUUCUGUGAGUAUCCGGAGAUCAGUGAAGUCCAAGAGACCACAUUUCGUAGCUGCAUUGUGUCAAAAACUUUUCUAGCAUCAUUCAUAGAACCACAUUUUCCAUACAUGUUAAUAAUAUGAUUUUGGAGAAUCAUGCUUGGUUGGCAGCUGGAUUUUGAAAUGUGAUCAUGGAUUUUCUUUGCAUAUUCAAGUGAUCUAGAGUUGGCGCAAGCCAAAACUAAACUCGUAUACGUGCUUGGUUCAAAAUGGAUAUUCGGAUUCUUUAGAUGAAAAUCAAACACUUCCAGCGCUUCUUUGUAAUGCUGUUGCUUACACAACAAUAUUAUGUAACUAUUAGUCGGUAGCUCUGUACUUAGAUUAGAGACAGUUGCUGGUUGCAGAACAGGUCUUACAUGAUUAUGCAUACAUCGAAUGAAGCUUCGAAUUGUCAUAGACAUGGAUGGGGUUUUUGAAAACUAGAAAAAGUAAAACUACUGUUAUUUGACGACAACGGAAGAAACCUUAAAGGGCAAGAUGGUUUCAGGACAGUGAAGUGGUUACAAAUGAGGGUUUCUGAUUCUGACUAAGGAUAUAACAAAAAACAGUAGUAGGAUGAUCAGAAAGUGAGUGUUUCCAAUGUAAAUAUAUGAAAUAUUAACAUGAACCAUGUAACUAAAUAUGCUAUAUUAUGCUAAAGCCACUUCCUAUAUGUUACUAUCUCGCUGUGGCAAUUUGUCAAACAGCUACUAUGCAACAAAAUUGCAUUCUAAAAUGUGUACAACAAUGAGUUAGAAAAACUGUAUAAGUGCAUAAUGAUCAUCUUUAAAAUAGUUUAACAACUCAAAAUUGGAGGAAAUUUAUGGAUUCCAAAACCACAAAAAAGUUAUGAUAACUGAAAAUAACGCACCUGAAGUCUCUGGUUAGUGCUCAACCAGAGAGAAUACUAAUGUCACGUGCUUAUUGUUAUUGUUAUUACAAAACUACCCACUAUAUUUUCUUUAUUUAUAAAAUUUAUGUUUUUAAGAUAAAAAACAUAAAAUUUUAAAUAAUUCAUUUUUUCAAAUAAAUAUCCAAAAUAACUCAUUUUUUCAUCUAUUUUUCAAAAUAACCAACUUUUAAACAAAAAAAAAUUUCAAAACAAAGGAGGCGUCAAUCCAAUUGACGUCUGUGUACAUCACAUAAGAGGAGAAGACAAUCCAAUUGACGACAUUGUACAAACACGUAGGAGGGAGAAUAUACUUUCUCUCCUAUACGUUUGUACAUUAUCGCCAAUUGGAUUGACCUCUCCUCGACCUCUCCUCCUCUUCUGUGUUGUACACGGACGCCAAUUAUAUUGACGUCUCAUUUAUUUUGAGAUUUUUUUUUAUUUGAAUGUGGAUUACUUUAAAAAAUAAUUAAAAAAGUGAAUUAUUUAAUAUUUAUUUGAAAAAAAUUAAUUAUUAAAAAAGAAGACAUCCCUUGUCAUUUAGUCAUUGAGUUAAGUGAAUAAUAUAAAAAAGAAAUUUUAACUUUAAUUAUUUGUUAAAAUAAAUUAUUUUUAAUUAAUAUUUUAUUUUCUCUCUAUGACAACCACACAUUUAAAAAAUAUGAAGCAGGUGUAAAAUUGGUGGGACAAUACUUCAAAUCAAAUUAAUAUGCAACGACUUUGUUCAAGCCCACAUUAUUAUCUUACUUCUAUUUGCAAUAAUUCUAUACUCCAAAUAUUCAUUAUGCUCAUAAUUAUCCUGCCAAAAAAAUUCCACAGUCAAACUUUAAUUAAAUUUUUUUAUGCACAUUCCUCUAAAUUGAUCCAAAAAAGUACCAAUUCAGCCUAAAUUAUAAACUAAACAAAUCCUAAUCACUAAUCAGCAAUAAUCACUAAUAAUAGUUAAAGAGACAGCUGCUACAAAAAAAAAAAAUAGAUUGGUACCAUCUCAACAGCUAUUUGGUAUAAGAUAGCAACUCAUCCUCUCACUCUCACAUAAAAAAUUAUUUUUCAUAUUCUUUAUAUAUAUUACUUUUGCUUCAAGUCACAACCAAGUGAAGCAAUUCCAAACAAAAACUAGUAAUUUAGUUUGAAAGUAUCAAUCAUAACCUCAUAAAAUUUCAAACGUUUUCUUUAACACCAAUACUUUAUACUUUAUGUUCCAUUUUAAAUAACCUUCUCUUCACUUCAUUCUCUUCCAACCUGAAAAUUUUCUGGUCAAUUUUUUCAUAACAUGGGUUCACUAGAAAGGUCAAAGAAAAAAACCCAUUUAUGGAAAAAAGCCAUGCUUCAUUUUUCUCUAUGUUUUGUUAUGGGUUUUUUCACCGGUUUAGCUCCAUCAGGUAAAUCUCUAAUAUUUUCUAGCAAAAUUGAAGUUGCAUUUGCAGUUUCAAACGUAACAGAGUUUGUAACAGCAGCACCUCAACCUUCUCAAACUUCAACGAAAAAUAGUAACAAAAGUUGGAUAGCUUCAGCACCGAAAAUCCAUAGCCAAAAAACAAAGUUGCAUGCAAAACCACUACCUCAGUUAAAGCCGAAAAGACUUGUUAUCAUAGUAACUCCAACUAGCACAAAACUACCUUAUCAAAAUGUUUUUCUGAGAAGGUUAGCGAAUACUAUAAAGCUGGUUGAUCAACCGGUGCUUUGGAUUGUCGUCGAGGCGAAAACCGAUUCGCCGGAGUUGUCGGAGAUUUUAAGGAAAACUGGUAUCAUGUACAGACAUGUUGUUUUCAGUGAAGAGUUUGAGGAUUUAGAAGGUGAAUUGAAUCAUCAGAGAAAUUUAGCACUUAGUCACAUUGAACAUCAUAGAUUGAGUGGGAUUGUUCAUUUUGCUGGACUUUCAAAUGUUUAUGAUCUUCAAUUCUUUCAACAGCUUAGAGAUAUUGAGUAUGUUUUCUAACCCUUCUAUUUGCUUAACUAAUUAUUAAUUAUAUUAUUAUUAUUUUGUUGUCUUAUAGUGAUUUGUUCUAAUUUAAAUGUAGCUAGUGGGGGGAAGUUUUAAAAAUAAGCAAAUUUUUUUCAAUUAGAUGGAGAAAAGUUAGUGAGAAAAUCUUUAGGUAUACCAAAAGAUGAUGAUGAUAACUUUAGUGAAUCUUCAACUUAGAUAAAAAAUCAUAUACAAAGAAGACUAUUUAAUUAAAUAUGUAUAAAAUUAUUUUUUAAAAUUAAUAUUAAUAGUAUUUUUUGUAUUAGUAUUAAUAUUAUUACAUAAGAUUUUGUUAUUAGAAUUUAUUUAUAAAUUUGUUGAUAUUUUCAGUAACUUAUGUUUAUUAAUUAACAUUAAUAUAACAUUUUAAAACUUCAUAUUAAAUAUUAAAAUAUAAUUUAAUAUCACUUACUUAUGAGUUUGUUAAUAAAUUUUAAAUAUGACUUUAGAAAAUAUAAAAUUUAUUGAACUUUAAAUUAAAUUAUAAUAAAUUACUUGUCAAAUUUUAAAAGCUUUUAUCUGAUAAGACUUAAUUCAGUAAAAAUUUACAUGUUAAUAAAAUCAAAACUAUCAUUGAAGUAAAUUUUUUUAAUGAUCUACAAAUUAUGAUAUUUUACAAUUACUAGUUGAUUUUUAAAUUUUUUAAAAAACUUAUAUGCUUAAUUUUCUUUAAUAUUUUUACAAAAUAAUGUGUUUCAAUAUUUUAAUUGUGAUUAAUGUGACAAUUGAGCAGGGUCUUUGGGACAUGGCCAACAGCAUUAUUACUUGCAAAUAGAAAAAGAGUCAUACUUGAAGGACCUGUAUGUGACUCAUCUCAAGUUAUUGGAUGGCAUUUAAGAAAUAUGAACAAUGAAACAAUAACUCCUCCCAUUCAUAUUUCAAGUUUUGCAUUCAAUAGCUCCAUUCUUUGGGACCCUGAAAGAUGGGGUAGAACUUCAUCUGUUAAACACACUUCUCAGGUAAUUAAUCACUUCAUAAUCAUGUUUAAUCUCAUUCUAAAAUAGGUAAUUAAUUAAGUUAGUUUAUAUCACUCCUUCACUUUUUACAAUUUUACUUGCGUCUACUUAACAUUUACCCAACUACUUUAAAAAGAAAACUCAAACGCAAGAAAAAUUAUGCAUUAAGUAAUGUAUAAUGACAACAUGAUUAAUUAGUUGAACUAAUUGAAUAGAACAAUACUACUAAUUAUGUAGUGUUUUCUACUCCAUGUAGUAAUGUUUUCUACCAAACAAUUUUGUUGCUAUUUUGUUUUUUUUGUCAUAAUAAUGAUGCUACUUUUUGUGUGGUUAUCUUAGAAUUCAAUCAAGUUUGUGAAGCAAGUAGUUCUAGAAGAUGAAACAAAGUUGAAGGGAAUUCCACCAUAUUGCUCCAAAAUAUUGUUAUGGCGUUUCAACUUCUAUGCUCGUGCCAUGUCCAAGCAUUAAUUUGUAGGAUAUUAGAGAGAAUAAGGAAUUUGAAGCAAUUCACAAAUUGCUUUUCUACUACAAAAUAUAUGAAAUUUAUUCAUUUUUUUUACCUUUUGUAAUUGUAUUUCGUAUAUAGUUUUUUUCUUCGUUCAUAAUUUUUGUUAGUUUAUGUAAGAGAGGCAAAACAUUUAAAGCAUAUUUUAUAUUUUUAUUUUUUUGAUAUAAAGGCACUAGAGUUUCUAGCAUAUUACUUAAUGCACCAUAAACAUUAUUUACUCUUGUAAAAAAUUAAAAUUAUCCUUAGAAUUUAGAGGUGCAUCCCGGAUGCAUACUAUUUACAUAAAUUAUUUUGUUUUUGAGUCACACAUUAAUUAUAAUUAAAUUUUAUCUAGAAAUGCAUAUAUGUAUUUUAUAUAGAUGUAUUUCUGAAUCCUAAUGAAUCAAGAACAAUUGCAUAAAUGAAACAGAUACACAGUCAGAGAUAAAUUAACAUCAAUAAUUGUUAUGACAUACAUAAAAAUCGAAACAUUAUAUUGAUAAUUGUUAUGACAUGCAUAAAAAAAUGAACUAUACAUUUCAUCAUCAAGUAUGACGUUGCAAUAUCUUCAAAAUAUCUUCGGUGGAUCUCGUAAUUUUCACAUCCAACUCGAUUGAACCUUUCGUUUUGUAAGGGUGAAAUGUACUCCACAUAACCCUUAAAUCAUCAUCUGUCUUCAGCUCAAACUUACUGAACUGAAUGUUUCCUUCGUUAUCAAUCGAGGGUGAACGACACUUGAGUUUGAUAACUUUUUGAUUGUCUAAGUAUUCUAGAAGAUUCUCAAAAUAUGCAUUUCAGAUCUGCAAGAGAGGUGUACUCAGUGACCUUAAAUUCAAGUGAGACAUUCACGACGUUGAAGUAGACAAAUGCGACAUGCCAAUAUAUGUUAAUUCUGGUGUAAUGUGACUUUGUUAAAAAUUUGAGAUGAGAGAUCCAUUUUAUACAAGUUUUAGGUCAAUAUGGAACUUAGAAAUUCAAUCAUGUCCCAAGGGAAAUUCCGUAGAUGUACUUCUUAAAACACCCUACUUUGUUGUGUGAAAUUUAUGAAAAUAUGGUGCAUCAGAAAAUACAUUUUUGAAUAAAUUCAUGUUCGUAUUUUUUUAAAAUAUUUGGGAUGAAUCCAGAAAUGCAUUUUCGGAUGCACCAGAGACUGUUUGCUUAACCAAUUUCAGAAACAGAACCUGUUUUCCAAUAGAAAAUGGAGAAAUAUUUUGAAAAUUGAAACAAAUAUUAAAAUCUAUGAAAACAUAUAUAUUUAACAUCAUUAAUAUUAAUAUAAAAUUACAUACAAUACAUGUCUAACCAAAUAAACACACUGUUGAAUAAAAACUAAAAUGAAUCAAAACAUGUGUCACCGUCUAAAUCUAUAUGUAUGAGAAUUACACAUUUGACUUUUGUUUAUUUGUUUCUAUUUCAAUCUCGCUCAACUUGGUGAAUUCUUGCAUCCUAUCCAUAAAAGGAUUCAACAAAGUCUCAGUUUUCCAUGUUGAAUGAGUUGUCCACUCCAGGGUGUUAGGGGUACAGGGCAUCCUGAUUUCAAAACUAAAACAAAGUGUCACGUUUUUGAAAGUCAUUCAAUACACAUAAUACGAUCAAUUGGAUUUUGAGGUGGGACAAUGUAUAGUGGAUUUUUUUUUCGAAAACUAUAUCUUGUCAGAUCAAUACACACCUUAUUAUAUGCAUUUGUUAUAAGAUGACUCAUUUUAGUGAAGUACAUCCAUUUUUCUUCUGGCGUAGCUCCCCUAAUGCAAGGAAUAAGAGAUUCAUGAUAUGCACCAAAAUUUUCUUUUUUUCCGUAUAACACGUGUGUGAUUCUUUAUAGUCGUGUGUAUGAUUCUUUAUGCACCAAAAUGUAUGAUCAUCAUCUCCUUUACCGAGCAAAGCAGAAAUAUAUCGAAAACCGCCAUUAUCGUUGCCCUCAAUAUUCAUGAUCCGUUCUGAAGGGAUUUAAAGGAGAUUUUUCAAAAAUUUUGAUCCCCUUAGUGGAACAAUCCCGAUGAAUGGAUCUUAAUUAAAUCACUAAUCACGAAUCAAACACAAAUAAAGGUUUUGAAUUCUCUCUUGAAAUGUGCUUUAACUUUGAUCAUGAACGUGAAAAAUAACACCGUCUCUAUGAAGUCUACGCGAGUACAAAGUCGAACGUGAUGCUAGCAUUUUCUUUUUCUGAGAAUGACUUUGCAAAGGAAAUAAUUUUUCUAUUUAUAGAGAGCUACUAAAACCCUAAUAUGUUCUUAUUUUGGUCUUUGUAAAAAUAAGCUCAAUCUUAUUUAAUUAAAUAAUUUUAAUUAAAUAAAAUAUAUUUUAUAUUUAAUUAAAUUUUUUAAUUAUAUAAAAUAAAAUAUUAAUUAAAUUAAUCAUAUUUAAUUCAAUUAAUUAUCAAUUCUCAUUUAUUUAAUUAAAUUAUAUUUAAUCAAAUAAAUUAUAUAUGUAUUAAUAUAUUAAAUAAUCUAAAUACUCUUAACACAUGAUUAAAUUAAAUUAAAUCUUAUUUAAUUUAAUCAUUCAUUCAAUUAUCAGUACUCUAUGGGUGAUACUUAUUUGAGGACGAACAUGCAUUUUACAGUCAUACUCGUUCAAGGGUCCAUAAAUAUUAUUCCAGUAUAUAUAGGAGAUACAAAUCUCAUAUAAGUCAUCCAUGUCUCUUAACAUGAUUUAUAAAAUAUUCAUCCAUCAUCUUUAUAUCUUUAUAGGAAUUCUUUUAUGGAUAACUUUUGAAUGUAGUGUGUACUCAUUUAUGUAAUACCUAUAGCACUCGGUUGUUUUUCUUUGGUUUAUCAAAACAACCGAUGCUUGUUUUAGUGUUUUGACCAAUAUUUGAGAAUUGAAAUAAGUUCUUUUAAGUAGUCAUAAUUGCUCUCCAAACCAACGCCAGCUAGAGUUUAGUAACAGUUUAACUUGUAUAAACUUGCAUAUUAAACAAUUUAAAUUGAAUCGUUCACAAUUAUUAACCAAUGUCAUAAAGUGGUAUAAGUCCGACCCCUGUUAAUUCAUGGAUAAUCUGCAAACUUUAACAAAACAAAUAAUUUUAAUAUUUACUUAAAACUACCUUAAAGUAUAUUUGGAAAAUAUCUUUUAUCAUAGACCAAAUUAUAAGAGAUAAAUGUAUAUUUACUUUUAAAAUAAUUAUUAUAGGAGUCACUUAUAACUUAGGGUCUAAAUGAUUUAACUCACACAAGCUACAAUUUUAACGGAUUCAAAAGUUGGUCCAAUUGCUUAGUUUAGAAUUCUUUAAAAAAUCUAUAAAACUGAACUAUAAAUUUGAACCAUAUUGUUGUUAAAUAAAUUAAUCAUUCAUUUUUAAAUAACAAAAUUAAAAGAACAACACUGCAAAUAUAUAAAAGGUGAGAUACUAGGUUCGGGAGUCAUUUAAGUGAGAGAAAAAUAUUAGACAUCUCUCACCUCCAUUGUAUUCAAUGAAAUCCUCCUCUAAAUCUAGGGUUAGUGUGUUUUUAAGAGAAUUUUGCUUUAAUAUUUAUUAAUUAUUUAAUUAUUUAUUUAUUUAACAAAAAGAUAUUUGAUUAGAGAAAAGAAAAAUCAAUUACAAAAGAAGACUAAAAAAUGUUUUUGAUUAUUAUACUUGCUAGAAUCUUACAACUCUAACUCUAUGCCUACGUACCAUUACUUUUAAUGAAAGAUCAGAGUCUCGUAGUUCUGGUAGAAAAAUGUUUGUAGUUUUUAUCCCUUAAAAAUUCUUAAGCAUCGGGGACGAAAAAGUAAUUGAUUUUGAAAAAUGCAUCAAUGCACUAUGGCAGAUGACUUAUAGUUUGAGGUGAGUUUAAAUUAAUUUUAUUCCAAUUAUUGAUUAAAAAAAUAUAGUACUUAAUUUAUUUAUGAAAAUAAAUAUUAUAUAUUUAUAAGACAUAUCUCUUAUCCCGAUUGUAUCCCCGAUUUAUCCCUUAUUUUUAUCUCUUUGAAAUCCUAAAAAUCUAUCCCUUAUUUUAUCCCAUGUUCUUAUCCCCUUUGAUUGCAAAAAUAUAAUAUAUUAAAUAACUUAAAUAAGAUGUAAUAUGAUGUAUCCCUUAUUUUUAUCUCUUUGAAAUCCUAAAAGUCUAUCCCUUAUUUUAUCCCAUGUUCUUAUCCCCUUUGAUUGCAAAAAUAUAAUAUAAUUAAAUAACUUAAAUAAGAUGUAUCCCUCAUCCCGAUUUUAUCCCUUAAAACCCUAUAAAUUAUCCCUAAAAUUUCUUGAUUUAAUUAUCCCUAGUUUCUAUAAAUCCCUAAUUAAUAUGACUAUUCUAAAUAAUUGAUGAAGAAUCCAACUUAAAAAUAAAUAUUAAAUUAAUGAAAUCCCCGAUUAUUAGUUUAAUUAAAUCCAAUUAAUUUUAAUAAACCAACCUUAAUAAUUAAAUUCCUAAAACUAUAUAUUCAUUAAAAUAAAUAUAUUUUAAAAAACAGGGGGGGUGUAUUAUGGUACUAAAUAAACAAUUGGGCUUGAAGCUGGGGUGUGGGAAGCAAUGGAAAGAAAGGCCCAAUACUCUCUGAAGUCUAACGCAUGGGGGUCUAUAGAAGGAGAGAGUCAAUCGUUGACUCUCUUUGGUUCCUUUGAUCAAGAUCAUGGGGAUGUUAUUACACUUAAUCAUAGCCUUUGGUUUGAUUGACUGGUCAAAGUAUAUAGAGUGUAUGAUUGAAAUGCAGAGUCAAAAGGGGACUCGGGGUAUACACGCAUACACAACGGGUGAGUUUUUUCCUGCAUUGCCCUCCUAUUGAAUUUUUUUAUCCAAUAUGCCCCAGUCUGAAAAUAAUUUCCCAAUCUACCCCCUUUUUCAAUUAGGGCUCGCCACUUCAAACGACGAGGGGAUGAAGGCCUAAUUUACGCAGUUAGGGCUCGUCACUUCAAGUGACGAGGACAUGAAGAAGGAUUUUUUUUUAAUAUUUUAAAUAUUGUAUUAAAUAAUAAUAAUAAUUAAUAUAAUUAAUUUUUAAUUAUUAAUUCUAUAUUUAAUUAAUAUAAUUGAUUUAAUUAAAAAUAAUAAUAAUUUUUUUAUAAAAAAAUAUUUAAAAUAAAUUGUAAAUAAUUAUAGUUUUUCAUGAUAAUAAAAAAAUUGUGAUANUGUAGAAAUUGAAGAGAGUAAAUAUUUGAAGAGGGUAAGAAUGUGUGAAAUAGAAAUUGUAGGUAGAUGAUGAGUAAGAAGUGUAGAAGUAUUGAUUAUUUAUAGUGGUAAAAUUAUAAUAAAAAAAAUUGGUAAAAGUUUGAAUAGUAGAGGAUUAGACAUUGCAUUGCAUGUCAUGCAUGCAAAAAAAAUUGUAAGGAUUCCCUGUAACAUGAGAUUCCCACGCUGAAGGGAAAACACAAUGCCAAUAGCCUGCACUAUGGCUCGUCACUUUGAUGGACGAGCUGUACCUACUUCUUUGAGGCCUCGUCAAAUGGAAUGGCGAGGUGAUUCAUCCUCUUUGUUGCCUCGUCAAAUGAAGUGACAAGUUCUGUAUGUCUAGGGUUUUGUCUCGUCAAUCCAAGUGAUGAGCUAUCACAUGCCAAUUUCCUCACGCGUUUCCCUACUUCUCCCUCCUCUAUUUAACUUAAAAUCAGCAUGUGAUUUGGAUAUUGUAUUAUAUUCACACCAAAUCAAACUCAUAUUUCCUAUAAAUACUACUAACUUCCUCAUUUACAUUCACCAAAUCAAAUCCUCAUUUAUAUUCACACCAAAUCAAAUCCUCAUUUAUAUUCACACUAAAUCAAAUAUUACACAUCCAUGGCUCAAAGAAAUUUAGUUGUUUCUAUCCAUUCCGAAGGGUCACUUUUCACAUAUUCAAGUGAGGGAUUCUCAUUUUGCAAUACGAAUUUAACUAUGUUCAAAAUCCACAUCAACUCCGACUUUCAUAAUUUAAAAGACCGUAUUGAAAAGAAGUUGCAACGUUAUGUUGAAGACAUCAUUUAUCGUCAACCAUUAUUUAAUGGAGAUGAUAAUACCGUCUUUCACAUAAUGACACCGAUUAAGACCGACGAAGAAAUUUGUUGUUCAAAUCCAAAUUGGAGUUUGACUCGAUCCGUCUGAUGCAUCUCAACGGUAUAGAAACAUAUGAUAUAUGUUGUUGCACUCCAGACUCGGCUGUCAUUAUAAUCAGGCACUGGAUAUUAUAUGUACGGCCUCCAAAUAAACUGUUAAAAGAAAUAUAACUAUUAGAAUGUAUAUUAAAUUUAAAUAAGUUAAAUAUUUUAAUUAAUCAUUCUUACAUCUUUUUCUUCCAUGUGUUCUAUUGCAACACGGUACCCUUGUACAUGAUGUCGAGGAUUAUUUCGAUAAUUCAUACCUCGUUUGCACCAUCUUGCAUAUUAAAAAAAAUAUGUUAAAUUGACGUAUAAUUUUUUUUUGAUAAAUAUAAAUUGCAUUUAAAUGAAAAUCGUUACCUUAAACCUCGUUACUAACCGGGGCUAUCAAGGGUAUGCGUGUGAAUGCCCAUACAGUUAGUAAUACCACACAUCCUCCUAUGCUCUUUACUCCUCUAUGGGCCGCCUUGCACAUAUGUCUAUAUAGUGUAGCCAAACAAGCAGAACCCCAACUGUAUGAAUUACAUUUUUCAAGGUCUCCUACUAAAGGUAACCAAGAAGAAUGCAACAAAUUGUGACUUUUAUCUGGCAUUAAAAAAGUAGCAAUUAAAAGUAAAAUAUAAAUUUUUGCAUGUAAAAUAUUUUCUGCCUCGGACGGGUUAGGGUUAUUUUUUAGUUGCGUUAAUACUGCGUCUAGCCAAACAAUUUUGACAGAAGCCCCAUUUUUAUCCGAGGGCGGUUGGUUCGAUGCCCAAAUUUUCCAUGUAAACGGCACUGGUUACGUUUGUUGGGCCAUUGACAGCUUUUCCAUGGAUUCGGAGACCGAAUAACAUACUCACAUCCUCUAAUGUGAUGGUACAUUCACCUGUUGGUAAAUGAAAUGUAUGUGUCUCCGGUCUCCAUCUCUCUAACAAUGCCACAAUGAGUUUAGAGUCUACUUUUAGACUUGCAAUUUUUGCCACAUUCGCAAAACCUGCUAGCUCCAAGUACGGUAUUAUAACCGCACUUGGUUGAAUAUAUGAAUGCAAAUGAACCCGAAAUUUUCCAUCUUGCUGAAAUUAAAAUAAAUAACAGUAAUGAAUAUUUGGUCUAAUAAAGAACGGAAGUAAAAAACGAUAAUAAAAAACGAUAAUAAAAAACGGUAAAUUUGAAUGAGACUUACGUAUUCGACAAUGUUUGCCGCCGUCCCACGGUGUGAUUCACCCAUCCAUAAGAAAGACAUCUUGAAAGGAAGUGUAGAAAUUGAAGAGAGUAAAUAUUUGAAGAGGGUAAGAAUGUGUGAAAUAGAAAUUGUAGGUAGAUGAUGAGUAAGAAGUGUAGAAGUAUUGAUUAUUUAUAGUGGUAAAAUUAUAAUAAAAAAAAUUGGUAAAAGUUUGAAUAGUAGAGGAUUAGACAUUGCAUUGCAUGUCAUGCAUGCAAAAAAAAUUGUUAAGGAUUCCCUGUAACAUGAGAUUCCCACGCUGAAGGGAAAACACAAUGCCAAUAGCCUGCACCUAUGGCUCGUCACUUUGAUUGACGAGCUGUACCUACUUCUUUGAGGCCUCGUCAAAUGGAAUGGAGAGGUGAUUCGUCCUCUUUGUUGCCUCGUCAAAUGAAGUGACGAGUGCUUUAUGUCUAGGGUUUUGUCUCGUCAAUCCAAGUGACGAGCUAUCACAUGCCAAUUUCCUCACGCGUUUCCCUCUGUCUCUCUCCUCUAUUUAACUUAAAAUUAGCAUGUGAUUUGGAUAUUGUAUUAUAUUCACACCAAAUCAAAUUCAUAUUUCCUAUAAAUACUACUACUUCCUCAUUUACAUUCACCAAAUCAAAUCCUCAUUUAUAUUCACACCAAACCAAAUCCUCAUUUAUAUUCACACCAAAUCAAAUCCUCAUUUAUAUUCAUACUAAAUCAAAUAUUACACAUCCAUAUGGAAUGAGUCAUUUAUCGUCAACCAUUAUUUAAUGGAGAUGAUAAUACCGUCUUUCACAUAAUGACACUGAUUAAGACCGACGAAGAUGUCAGGUCGAUGUUUCAAUGUCAUGUAACAUUAUCUCAAUUACCCAGCAUUGAGAUAUAUGUUCGUCUAGUCGAUAAUCUUGAAGAACAACCGAGUGACAAUGUUGAGGAACAACCGUCUCACAACGAAAAUCACUGUUAUCCAACGCAAUCUGUACAGUCACACGACUAUGGAAUGAGUCAAGCCAUUGACGAAGAGCCGACUCAAAAUAAUGAACCUUUCAUACCAAAUGAAGAGGUGGGCGAGAAUAGUGAGGAUGAUCUUGAGGAGGUUCGAUUUGAAGAUCUAUUCGGUGUUAGCGAUGACGAUGGCAAUGAGGAAAUAUUCGACACACCGGCCGUUGCACUAAGAGCGCAACCAAUUAGUUUGUACAACCCACCUGCGCACAUGCAAAACAUAAGUUUGGAUGAUGCCGAACCAAUCUCCGUUUUCGGCAGUUUCAUACCAACUCACAACUUUGACGAAAUAGAGGAGGGCAUAGAGUAUGAAGAUAAGGAAGAGUGUCUUCUGGCGUUGCAACAAUGGCAUAUAAAACGUAGUCUAGAUUUUUCUGUGGUUAAAUCUGACAGUGUAUGUUUUGUCAUCAAAUGUAGAAAUUCAACAUGCAAUUUCAAAUGCAGGGUCUCUUUGCGCAAGGGCAACUCAAGGUGGAGAGUUGGUAAGUCUAGUGGGCCUCAUACGUGCACAACCACUUCCAUGUCACAAGACCAUACAAAACUCAGUUCAGAAAUGAUUAGCAAGAGCAUAAUGGAGCUUGUAAAUCGGGACGCUUCUCUUAAGGUGAAGGUUAUCAUUGCUCAUGUUGUUGAGAAAUACCGGUAUAUCAUAUCAUACAAAAAGGCAUGGAUUGCAAAGUGUAAGGCGGUUGAGUCGCUCUAUAGAAAUUGGGAGACAUCUUACAACGAUCUUCUACAGUGGAUACUGGUAAUGAAAACAUAUCUACCAGGUACCAUUAUAGAAUUACAAACCCUACCUGUGAUUUCAAAUGAUGGUUCAUACUUGGGUGACCAAAGGAUAUUUCAUCGUCUGUUUUGGGCGUUUAGACCAUGUAUACGUGGCUUCGCGUAUUGUAAACCAAUUGUGCAGGUUGAUGGAACUUGGUUGUAUGGCAAGUACAGAGGGGCUCUGCUGAUGGAUGUGGCACAGGAUGGGAAGGGGAACAUAUUUCCGAUAGCGUUCGCAUUGGUUGAAAGUGAGACAAAGGAAGCCUGGAGUUUCUUUCUUAAGAAUUUGAGAAUGCAUGUUACCCCCCAAGCAAAUCUAUGCCUAAUAUCAAACAGGCAUGAAUCAAUAAAGAAUGCAUACAACAACCCGGAAAAUGGAUGGCAGUUUCCUCCUUCAUCACACGUCUAUUGCAUUAGACAUAUCGCGCAAAACUUCAUGCGGGAGAUUAAAGAUAAGGAUCUGCGGAAAAUAGUUGUUAACAUGGGUUAUGCGUUAACAGAGGCAACGUUUAACUACUAUCGGGGGGAAAUCCGAAGAACAAACAACGACGCUUUAUCAUAGAUAGACAACAUCCCUCGCGAGAAGUGGGCAAGGGCAUUUGACGGAGGGCAACGCUGGGGUCACAUGACAACUAACCUAGCAGAAGCAACGAACGCGGUGUUGAAAGAAACCCGGAACCUUUCAAUCACUGCAUUGGUCAAAUCUACGUACUAUCGUUUAGGAUCACUAUUUGGUAGAAGAGGCCAUCAGUGGACAAAAAUGUUAGCCUCUGGGCAGGUUUUCACUGAUAACUGCAACAAGGGGAUGGCUGAGGAAGUCAUCAAAGCUAACACGCAUAACGUCAUGCAGUUCGACCGAGAGAGAUUUUAUUUCAUGGUCCAAGAGAAGAUUAAUCAUAACGACGGUCGACCAACCGGAACGUUCAGCGUUGAUCUGAGGAAACAACACUGUGACUGUGGGAAAUUUCAGGCAUUUCACUUACCUUGCUCCCAUGUAAUCGCAGCAUGUUCGAGCAUACGCCAGGACUAUUCCAUUCACAUUCCAGACGUCUUCAAAAUUCGUAACGUCUUCAAGGUCUAUCAGGAGAGUUUCCUAGGACUUCCCCAUGAGGAGAAUUGGCCACAAUAUGAAGGAUAUACUCUUUGCCACGACGACUCUAUGAGAAGGAGGAAGAAAGGGCGCCCAAACAGCACCAGGAUUAGAACCGAGAUGGACGACGUUGAGAAGGAGAAGAGAAGGUGUGGAAUUUGUCGCGAAAUAGGACACAUGCGUAGGAAAUGUCCUAAUGUUGCAGGAUCAUCCCAACGACCUUCCAGAUGAUUAUCUUGUUGUUUUAAAUAUUCGUUCAGAUGACUAUGUUUAUUUAUUUAUUUAUUAACUACUAUGCACAUAAUAUAUAUAAACCAUUUUGUAUUUCUAAUGUCUUUUGGGAACAAACAUUUAUGAAAUACAUUUGAUAAUCAAAGGCUUCUGGUUACAAAGUACGACCACAUCAACUAAACAACAACAACAACCAACACAAGUGGUAAUUAAAAAACUAAUCAACAACAACAACCAACACAAGUGGACCUUCAACUCCUCUAUUAACUUCACCACUAUGUGCCGAAAACAUACAUUGGACAUCUUCAUCAUUUUCUAUACGAUCCAGGUAAUACAUGUACGUACCAUCGGGGCUUGCAUCAGUCAACGUUAUGUAUGGACAACGAUACUCUACUUUCCUCACCUUCAUACGACGCCCGCCCAACUGUCGGAAGCCAGUGUGGAUGGCAGAAAUCAGUGUUCUGAAAUUCCAUUGCGGAUCAAGGCAAACACUCAUUUUUUCACCGUGUCCAUAAAAUACAAGACCACAAACAGACAUUAUGAACUAAAGAAAGGAUUUGGUGGUGUGAGUUUCAUUUCUACCAGUUNNNNNNNNNNNNNNNNNNNNNNNNNNNNNNNNNNNNNNNNNNNNNNNNNNNNNNNNNNNNNNNNNNNNNNNNNNNNNNNNNNNNNNNNNNNNNNNNNNNNNNNNNNNNNNNNNNNNNNNNNNNNNNNNNNNNNNNNNNNNNNNNNNNNNNNNNNNNNNNNNNNNNNNNNNNNNNNNNNNNNNNNNNNNNNNNNNNNNNNNNNNNNNNNNNNNNNNNNNNNNCAACAACAACCAACACAAGUGGACCUUCAACUCCUCUAUUAACUUCACCACUAUGUGCCGAAAACAUACACUGGACAUCUUCAUCAUUUUCUAUACGAUCCAGGUAAUACAUGUACAUACCAUCGGGGCUUGCAUCAGUCAACGUUAUGUAUGGACAACGAUACUCUACUUUCCUCACCUUCAUACGACGCUCGCCCAACUGUCGGAAGCCAGUGUGGAUGGCAGAAAUCAGUGUUCGGAAAUUCCAUUGCGGAUCAAGGCAAACACUCAUUUUCUCACCGUGUCCAUAAAAUACAAGACCACAAACAGACAUUCUGAACUAAAGAAAGGAUUUGGUGGUCUGAGUUACAUUUCUACAAGUUCUGCUAUUUAUACAAAAAUUAAUAGUUGAAUACUCAGCCAAUCAUUGGCCGAGACAGUACAAACACAAAAACUUUUUGGCGGGAAAGAUAUCAUUCCCAAAAAAUGAUUGACAUUUUGGAGGGAAACAUAACAAUUUUAUUAUUAAUAUAUAAGACAUAAAUUAUUUCUAUUAUUAAUAUUCUAAAAAUUAAUCAUUUUUAUUAUUAGUAUUUCAAAAAUAAUAAUAUCACAAUUUUUUUAUUAUCAUGAAAAACUAUAAUUAUUUACAAUUUAUUUUAAAUAUUUUUUUAUAAAAAAAUUAUUAUUAUUUUUAAUUAAAUCAAUUAUAUUAAUUAUUUUUUUAUUAUCAUGAAAAACUAUAAUUAUUUACAAUUUAUUUUAAAUAUUUUUUUAUAAAAAAAUUAUUAUUAUUUUUAAUUAAAUCAAUUAUAUUAAUUAAAUAUAAAAUUAAUAAUUAAAAAUUAAUUAUAUUAAUUAUUAUUAUUAUUUAAUACAGUAUUUAAAAUAUUAAAAAAUAAAAAAAUCCUUCUUCAUGUCCUCGUCACUUGAAGUGACGAGCCCUAACUGCGUAAAUUGGGCCUUCAUCCCCUCGUCAUUUGAAGUGGCGAGCCCUAACUGAAAAAGGGAUAGAUUGAGAAAUUAUUUUCAGACUGGGGCAUAUUGGGUAAAAAAUUUCAAAUAGAGGGCAUAUGCAGCAAAAACUCACAACGGGUAUGUUGAGUCAACUGGUUGAUUGGUUGAGAGAGGUCACGCAAGCAUGAUGUGGCACUUGGCUGGAUGAGGGUAUAAAAGUUAUCUCCCUUUAGAAAUCUUCAUUUCCACUUCUCUCAUUCUCCCUCUCUUCAUUGCUCUCCCUCUCUCUUCUCUCCCCUCUUUCUACUUCGGCAACCCUCUUCCCCACCGUAUAUCCCCAGAAACCACCCACAAACCACCACAUUCAACUGAGAUCUUUAUGUUCAUCAUGAACAUGAAAAACACCCAACUCAGAAACCGACCCCUCACCAUCCUUUCCCCCAGAACCACCGAAUCUCCGGAUCUCGGGUUGAAGCUCAACCAGGAUCUUCAAUCAAUGUUCAUCUGGGUGAUGAACAUCAACCCAGAACCAAGAACCCUAACCCUAACAUUCAACCAAAACCCAGAAUCACAAGAACCAUAACCCUAACUGAAGAACCCUAACCUUCAAAAUCAAAACCCAAAUUCUCCUAACCUUUAUCAUGUUCAUCAUGAACAUGAUGAAUCUUCAUCCCUGAUCUCUGAACCAUAACCCAAAUUUCCAGAAAUCCCCACAAUUCACCCAAUCAUAACAAAAACAACCUUAAAUCAAAGGUCGUAACCUCUUUAUCAAUAAUUAACCGCCAAAAUAAAUAACAAAACAUCCUAAAACCAUGAAUCAAUCCAUCUGAACCCUAAUCCCCAAAUCAACCCCAAUCAUCAUACAUCAACAACAACAUCAAAGAGUCAACAAAAGUAAGCAAAUAAGUGAAGUUCUACCAACCUACAGAAUCGAGGAAUAUUCCAGUUCGAAAGGUAAUUACCUAGAGUCCUUUCUUAAUUACUUCUUUUAUUAUGCUCCUCUUCUAAUCCCUUUCUUAUUGUUAUGCGAGGUUUGAUGGUUGGCUAAGCUCAAAUAACUUAGGGUUUCAGUGUGAAGCCCUAAACAUCAAAUUUUGUUGAGCAUAUGGUGAGACUUUUAGGAUCAAUGUUGCGACUGCAAGUUCCAAGUCCUUAGGGUUUUCUUCGUCCCUGAUUGAAUUUUAGGUUUAUGUUUAUAUAAAUUAUUUUUUAGGGUUUUAGAUUUCAAUUCUGAUUGUAUGGUUUUAUAAGAUUAGGACCUGAUUGAUUAUGUAUUUGAUUUAGAUUGAUUUUGUGUUAUAAAUAGAAAUUAGGUUUGAAUUGUAACAGACAUUGACAAUUUAUGUAGUCCAAUUUUGAUUGAUAUUCACGAUUUGAAUGUAUAUGAAAUAAAAACAGAAAUUUUGGAUUGGUUUUAAAAUUGCAGUUUUCGAUUUGUUCUGAAAAUGGUUUUGCGCAAGUCAGGGUUUAGAUUAGGGAAGAAGCUGAACCUGAGUCAUGAGCUUGCCCCGGUUCAGUGAUGGAUCUUUGGUCUAGCCUGACCCAGUUCGAUUGUGGUUUUGAAUCCUCUUGGUCUGACCAUCACUUGGGCCAAAUAACGAUAAUCAAGAUAUAACAAAAAAAUAAUUGGCACGUCCAUAAUAAUAAUAUAACAAA